UUGCCGGGAACGAAGUUGGUGGCGAAAGCCCAGGCGUUGUUGUUGACGGGGUCGGCGAGGUGGUCGGCGAGGUUCUCGAGGGGGCCCUUGCCGGUGACGAUGGCCUGGACGAAGAAGCCGAACAUGGAGAACAUGGCGAGGCGGCCGUUCUUGAUCUCCUUCACCUUGAGCUCGGCGAAGGCCUCGGGGUCCUCGGCGAGGCCCAGGGGGUCGAAGCUGCCGCCGGGGUAGAGCGGGUCGACUAUCUCGCCGAGCGGGCCGCCGGCGACGCGGUAGCCCUCGACGGCGCCCAUGAGCACCACCUGGCAGGCCCAGAUGGCGAGGAUGCUCUGGGCGUGGACGAGGCUGGGGUUGCCGAGGUAGUCGAGGCCGCCCUCGCUGAAGAUCUGGGAGCCGGCCUUGAACCACACGGCCUCGCCGAACUUGACGCCGUUGCGGGCGAGCAGCUCGGGGAAGACGCAGCCGAGCGCGCCGAGCAUGGCCCAGCGGCAGUGGAUGACCUCCAGCUCACGGUUCUUGGCGAAGGUCUCGGGGUCAGCGGACAGCCCCGCGGUGUCCCAGCCGUAGUCGCCGGGGAACUCGCCGGUGAGGUAGCUCGGGGGGUCGCCGGAGAGCGGGCCGAGGUAGAGCACGCGGUCGGAGCCGUACCACGGGCUGCUGGACGCCGCCACCUUGGGCUUGCCCGCCGUCUUGCGCAUGGUGAUGCGGCCCUCGCCGAAGGGCGCCGCCCUGGAGGCCUUCACCGGGGUGCCGGCCAUCGCCGGGGAGGAGAGCGCCAUGGUCGCCGCGGCCGCCAUCGCUCGCUGCGUGCUAGCUAGCUAGCCUUGCUUCGAGUGAGCUGAGGCUGGCAGUGACAGUAGGAGGCGCUGGUGGUCGUUGGUGGUGAGGAGUGAAGCGGGAGCGCGCCGGGUUUAAAUAGGAGGAGGGAGCGAUCGGGUCCUUAUCCCGGGGAAUCUUAUGCCGAGUCGCCAUUGGCGCGCGGGGCGCGAGGCGGGCGGAUGGGGCGGCUGAGGUGGCCGCGCGGUGGCCACGGGAGCGGCGGAGGUCGGGAUUUUUUGCGGGGUUGUGGUGGAUUUGGCGCGGUGGAGAUGAGCCGCGAGGGCGACGGUGGGUCGCGGCCGCAGCCCACAUGGCCGCGUGUGGGGCGGCUCGCCGAUGUGGCCGCGCGCUGGCCAGGGGAUCUCCUGCUCACCGCGCCGGGCGGAAGGGGACGGAGGGCGAUGAGUUUGGCCGUUGCGCGCGGUGCAUUCUGAGGCGUGCCGCUGGCCGGAGGACCCCGGGAAAGAGAUAUCUGCCGUUGGCAGGUUGUGCCGGCGACCUACGUGGCCGACAUCUACUGGUUUCACGACUUCACGAGGUGCCCAAUCGGAACGGGUUCAGGACUAGCUCGGAACUGCCGUUUUAUUUUUCGAUUUGCACAUGCAUCAUGUAAAGAUCCUCUGCAAUGGUUGAAGUUUAAAAACUUUUAUCUUUAAAACCGUUAAUUCAAUCGAUGAUCUCUUUUCAUCGUUGACUUUGUCACGACAAGAUCUUCGAAACUAGAUCUCAUGUUGACAUGUUUCGACAAACUUUUUUUUUCUUCCAUAAUUGCUACAUUUUUCCACUCACUUGCUAUAUUAUUAACCACUUACUUGCUCAAUAAAAAUAACUUAAUUGCCAUAUUUUUUUAUGUCGUUUCGUGCAAAGAUUAUCGAUGCUUAUAAAUGCAGUCCCCAAAAUGUUUUGAUGUGUUUGUCAUUUUUAUUCUACUAAGUUGUCAUGUGGUCUCAUAAAAGCUUGUAGGUGCUUAUAAAAUCACAGUUUCUACAUAUAUUUUUUGUGCUUGUCAUUUUAAUCCUACCUCGUUAUCAUAUUGUCCCAAACAACUUGUGAGUCAUUGUAAAAAAAAUAGUUGUUACGGUGUUUGCUGUAUUUAUCUUUUGAAUUCUAUGCUCAAUUGUUAUGUUUUGUGGUAAUAAAAGGACAUUUGAUUGUUUUAAAACGUAGUUGUGCUAGUGUUGUGUUGUGUCGGUCAGUUAAAUUCUAUUAAAAUGAUAUGCUUUUAUAUCAUGUAUAAUAAAAUAUGUUACAAGGCUUUUGUACGAAAUAAUAUUAAAAAGUGACAAUCAAGUUAUUUUUUUAGGCAAGUAAGUGGUUACUAAUAUGGCAAGUGGGUCAAAAAAUAUGGCAAGUAUGAACAGAAAAAAAAAGUUGACGAAACAUAUCGAUAUGGGAUCUAGUUUUGAAGAACUCGUCGCGAGAAAGCCAAUGAUGAAAACGGAUCAUCGAUUGAAUUAACGGUUUUGGAGAUAAAACUUUUUGAAUUUCAAACAUAAAAAAGAAUCGCGGGUUGUCCUCCCGCCGCACGGCAAAGCAGCGCUGCGCAUGCUAUCAAUUAGAUUUUUCCUUUAUUUUUUAUUUCUUACCGGCAAAACGAUCCGUAUGUUGAAACGGAAAAAAAAUCAUAAUCUUUAAUGAACAUGAACAUAUUUUCCUGCAUCAUCAAGAUAAAAAAAUAUCACUCUCAUUUUCAUGAAAUCGUGGAUAGUUUUUAAAAAUACAGAACAUAUUAAACUCAUGAACAUAUUUGCAAUCGGGAAUAUGUUUCAAAUUCACAGACGUUUUUACAGAUUUUUGAACAUUUUCAAAGAUCAUGAACAUGUUAUACUAUUUUCACACAUUUUUUAAAAUAUAGGAAAAAUAUUAAACAUUUUUCCUGAAUUGGCGAACAUUUUUCUAGAACCGAAGAUCACUUUUUUGGAAAUUUGUCGGCCAAUUUCUGAAAUUCACCAACAUUUUUUUGAUUUUAAAAUUAUUUUUUGAGUUCCAUGAUCAUUUUUUGAAUCAGCGAACAUUUUAUGAAUCAUAAACUAUUGUGUAAUUCACGAUCAGUUUUUGAAUUUUCUCGAUAUUUUUCAAUUUAAGAACAUUUUUUGAAUUGUAUUUUUUUCAAUUGAUUAUUUUGUUAACAUAUGAACGUUGAUAACAAAUCAUGAUUUUUUUUUGGAUUUUCCGAACCUUUGCUACCAAAAUUAUGAAAUUUUUAUGAAUAGGUGUUAUUUAAAAUUGCAAAUAUAUUUUUUAAUCCACAGACGUUUAGAAUUAUUAAACAUUCUAUUACUAAAAAUGUAUUUAAAAAAUUCGGAAUUUGUUUGAAGUCCUGAAUUAUUUAAACUAGAAAGAACAAAGACGGAAAAGGAAAACAAAAUUUAGAAAAUAGGACACCCAGAUAUGGAUCAGCCCAAACAAGUGCGACGUGUUUUCUUCCAGCACACAGAGCACAGUGUAAGAGGUUCCUACUUGAUGGGCCAGCCCAAACGGGGAUUCCCUUUGUGAAAUGUUUGUUAUCACUUGUGGCAACGCUAGGUAAUAUUUUACAACUUUAAAGGUAAUUUAUGUGAUGCACCUUAAGAAGCACUAAUGCCUUUAUUAAUAUAGGUAUAUAUAUAUGCAACAGACUGUUUACACGUGCAAUCAAGUUUUGCAAGUCUUGGGCCUAUAUAUAUAUAUAUAUAUAUAUAUAGGCCCAAGACUUGCAAAACUUGAUUGCACGUGUAAACAGUCUGUUGCAGUUACUUUGGUUGUAGCCUAGAGAUGUGAAAUGUUAUUUCAACCAACCAGAAGAGAGUGCUUGAUACUUGUGAUCUGCAUUGAGUUUUUUAUAAAGAGGAAUGGAUGAUGCAUCACAGUAUAAAUGGUAAAUUGUAAUGCGUGCUCAAGUUCCGCAACACACCCAAUACAAUGACAAAUUGCAUAGGCGAACUAGUUCGGCGAAGAGAUGUGAUACAAGUGUAGUAUGGAUAGUAUAAAUAUAUUUUUAUAAUCCGAAUAAGUAAAAAGAGCGAGGCAACAAGUAGUAAACAACGAGAAAAACGGUAUAUUAAUGUUGGAAUUAUGCCCUAGAGGCAAUAAUAAAUAUAGUUAUUAUUAUAAUUCCUGUAUCAAGAUAAUAGUUUAUUAUCCAUGCUAUAAUUGUAUUGAAUGAAGACUCAUUUACAUGUGUGGAUACAUAGACAAAACACCGUCCCUAGCAUGCCUCUAGUUGGCUAGCCAGUUGAUCGAUGAUAGUCAGUGUCUUCUGAUUAUGAACAAGGUGUUGUUGCUUGAUAACUGGAUCACGUCAUUGGGAGAAUCACGUGAUGGACUAGACCCAAACUAAUAGACGUAGCAUGUUGAUCGUGUCAUUUUGUUGCUACUGUUUUCUGCGUGUCAAGUAUUCAUUCCUAUGACCGUGAGAUCAUAUAACUCACUGACACCGGAGGAAUGCUUUGUGUGUACCAAACGUCGCAACGUAACUGGGUGACUAUAAAGAUGCUCUACAGGUANNNNNNNNNNNNNNNNNNNNNNNNNNNNNNNNNNNNNNNNNNNNNNNNNNNNNNNNNNNNNNNNNNNNNNNNNNNNNNNNNNNNNNNNNNNNNNNNNNNNUCCUCGCCUCUAGCUCGCGCACCCCUCGCCGGAGUCGGCACCAGAGAGCUUCACCCAGGAGCUCCUCCAUCGCCCCCCCCUGCACGCUUUCCCCCUGCCGAGCCCACCUCACCCCGCCACCACCUCCCCACCACUCGGCCCCCUCCUCCACCACCCCUCCACCCCGCUGCUGCUCCUCCCCAUCACCACUACCAGGCAGCCAGGAGCUUCCCCGUCGGCUCCCCCACAUGCAGGCUCCCUCCUCCCCCUUCGGCCCUCCCCCCAGGAGUCUCCACCGGCCCCUUCCCCACCCCUCGCCGGCCCCUACCCCACCCCACCGGAGCUCACCCCGUGCACCCCCUUCCCACCUCGGCCACAAUAGCCAGCCACGGGAGCAGCUCCAGCCACGGUAAGGCUCCACUCCCCCUCCUGUUUCUUUUUUGUUUUUAUGUAGUAGCCCUUAGAUCCAUAAUCUACGGUGUAGAUUAGGAAGUACUUACCCCUUCGGUUUUCUAAAAAGAACCGGUCCAUCAGUUAAGUGAACCGAAGCAUUUUCUUAUUUAGCGGCCAUCCGCUGUUUAGUCUAUGCAGCAAACACCCCUUAGCCAAUCAGGGACUGCCACGUAGUUAGUUAGCUUUUAUUCUGUUUUUUUUUCAGAUUUAGUUCAAAAACAGAAAGUUCCAAUCUUGUUUAGCCCAUAACUUUUGAUCCCGAAGUCCAAUGAUAGUGAUUCUUUUUCCAGUAGCUCACAAAGUUCCUGUAGUUUCUAAAAACAUAUAAUUUGUAUAUGUUUGAAAUUUUCGAAUAUAAGUUAGAUCAGAUUUAGUUUAAACAUUGUUUUGCCUAUUCCAGGAGUUUAAAAAUAUCUUUUAAUCUGAUUCCUUUUGGUACUGAUCACUAGUGAUCCUAUUUAUAAGUGGUAAAAAUUUCCAAUUUGUUUGAGUAUAUUAGCUCACUGUUUCUUGUGAAACAAUUUCUGUUUCAUCUCUUUUAGGAUUUCGGCUAAUUCCUUUUCUACUUUUGUUUUAAAAUAUUUUCUUUAUUAUUUCAGAAACAUUAUUGUUUUGUUUAUGUUAGUUAACAGUAGUUUUGGAACAAGUUUUUAUUUUAUUUUUAUUUGUUUUCAUGAAAUCAAUUCUAGUUCCUUAUUAACUUGCAAUUGGUUUCCGCACUGUUUCAAAUCCCGUUUGGGAAUACUUUCAAAAAGUUUUGUGAAAAAUACUUUAUUUUAUCUUAGUUAAACUUAUAUCUUAGUUCCUUGUUAUUAUUUUCUGUUAGACAAAAACUAGUUAGUGUUUGAUGUAGAAGAAGACUCCUAGUUUAGUAAAGUUUCUUUCGGAUUCUUAUUCGCUCUCUCUUUUGUUUUGAUUGCUAGAAUGAUUGCUAGUAUGAGUGCUUAUGUGAAUGAUAUGUUUGUUAUAUAGAUUCCCUCGGAGAGUGACGAGUAGUCUAUCAAGUUAUUUUCUCGAGAAAUUCUUCUUCGUCAACAUCACCAGGCAAGUCACUUUGAUCAUACUAUCACCUAUGUUUUAUGCAUCGUAGUUCUACCAUCCUAUGCCCAAAUUGCAUGCUGCUUAAGUACUUGGAAAUUUUAGUAUAGGUUGUAGUAUCAUGUGGUAGGCACCCAACAACCCCGAUACUUGGCCCCGGGACGACAAAUUUCAUAUUGCUAUGCUUGAGGAGACGGGAUUUCGGUUGAGUGCAUAACACAAGUGAUGCGAGGUUGAUUAAAUAAUCAAGACCGGUUAAGACAAGAUUUUCAAGAUCUUGGACACAAUGCAACUCUGGGUGAAGGACGGUUGAUCGGCUCCCUGGAGAACCCAGUGGAUGACCCGGGAUGCUGGAGAGGCCAUGACAUCCUGCGGAAAGCUUCACCCAGGCUCAAAGAGACGGACGGAUAUUUUCAAGACCCAAGGCUUACCUGCACAGCCACAAGUCAUUAUGGGCUCUGGCUUGGUUGGACAACGCGGCGACUCUGGACAGGCGGUGCUAGCAGAUGUAGAAGAAUGGUAUGAAUGGAUGGGCACCGACAGGGAUUCAGAGGGACCCGUUGAAAGACCAUGUUUUGAUCAUCCGGUCUUCAAACACCCUGAAGUGYGAGGACAUACACGGAGGCGAUCAAAUCUUGUGGGGAACGUGUGCAAAACUCUACAGAGUACUCAAACCUAAUCGAUUAGCCGUGUCCACGGUCAUGGACAACUUGAGCCAAAGGAACUGAAGUUAUCUGGAUUUCUCAACACCAUUAUAUAUAUUUGAUGAGGGUAAUUAUUGACAACUCGGGUACGAGAACUGGUUGGCGGAACCAUCUCGUUAACAACCAACCUUGUAGUAAUAUUUUUCUUUUAGCCCUCUUGAUGUUGGAGAAAACUUGCUUUUCGCUAAAAAACUUAUAGCCCCAGCUGCCAUAAAUGCAUAUAGUAUAGAUGAUUACUUUUCACCCCUCUCUUAUGKGACUUGCCAGCAUAUUCAAUAUGCUGACCUACACGGCURCAACAUCUUAUGUUGCAGAUAUUUUUCUUCGAUGAGUAAGAGUACGAUUCAGGGUUACGGUCAACCCUCAACUUGCCGUUGGUGUUUAUUGGGACUCCACUCCCUUGACUGCUUCCGCUGAGAUAUUUAAGGUAUACAUCAGUUUUACGCUAUUUACAUGUGAUUGCACUUUGAUAUAUACAUUGAUGUACUCUGUGUGCCAGCAUACUGAUCCACGGAUGGCACAGAAACACAGAGGCUUGACUCGUCUUGAGUCGGGUCGCUACUGAAAUGGUAUCAGAGCACAUAUUGACUGUAGGACGUGACCCUAGAAACUAGAAAUUUCUUAGGAAAGGAUCUCUCAAAAAUUUUAUUUUCAACAACACCUUUUACUUCUCAUCUCUUCUGAUUUCAUCGAAUGUUCCCUCUCACCUCAAAUAGUUAGACAAUACCCUUACCCCUUUGACCUCAUGAAUAAUCAACGGAGUUCUACUUCAAAUUAAAGAGGAUUUCCUCAUGCAAUUGAAGCUACACCAAUUGAAGACUCUCAAGACCCGAAGAACUUGAAGACCCCGAAACGUUCGAAUAUUUAUAUGACCAUUAGAAGUCCAAACCCCUGUUAUAUACCCACGUUAGAUACGAUGAUUUGUGAGCCGUCAUUGGUGUGUGUUUUUCGAUAGCCACAAAUAAAACCCAUUCUCAAAAAUAUUGUUUGUAUUGUGUGUAUCUCCCUCCCUCUCUUACCCGUCUCAUCCCCAAAACCUCAACCCUACCAGAUGGAGUAUGAAGCUGGACUUGUAGUCUCUGGACCAAUGACCCAGCUAGAGGCUGAAAUAUGGACUCAGAACAUGGAGAACCACUUCGGGAGCAACUUGAUCUCAAGGAAGUAUGAAGUGGAACACGCUCUCUAGUACUUUACCCAAAGUGCUGCAAUCUGGUGGAAAAUGCACCAUGCCAUACAAGGAUUUAGUGGAGCAGAAACCUGGGACGAAUUCAAGAACACCCUGUUAAGAUCCCGUCUCAUUCGGAAGUGCUAUGAUAAUCCGAAGGAGAAGACUUGUGCAUGCAAGAUCUAUGGAGAAAUAGGACACACCCAGGAAGAACACAAGGAUCGAUGCACUCAUUGUGAAGAAAAUCACCCAGCUGAGGAGUGCCCAAGUAGUCAGGUGACUUGUUUCCUUUGUGAAGGAACCACCCACUACCCAGCUCAGUGUCACAUUUACCCCAAGGUGCAACAGGUUGUCAAGCAGCAGAAAGAUGCAGUGAAGGAACCCCUCAAGAAGAAGAUUCUAGAAGAACCGAUGAUGAACGAAAAUAUUGAAGACCCUGAUGGACAAGGUCUGACCAGAUUUUUCUCCAAUGCAUGUUACUCAUGUGGAGAAGAAGGACAUUAUUCACAGGAUUGCACGAAGGAAAGCCAAGAGUAGCUGGGAAACUUCCCGACGGAAGAAGUGGAGUUUGAUCCACUUGAAAUAGAAGAACUGGCCAAAAUAAAGGAGUCCAGAAAGAAGAAAAAGUACCCUCGGAAGAACCAAAUCUCUGCAGACAUAGACCUGAGUCAUGUCAGAUGUUACAAGUGUAUGAAAUUUGGCCACCACAAAUACAUGUGCUCAGGAAGGAAGCCGGAAAUCCAAGGAGCAAAAGAAAAAGCUAAGAGGCCUCGAGACUUGUCAGAACUCAUUUGCUUUCGUUGCAAGGAAGCAGGACAUUUUGCUAGCGAUUGUCCACAAAGGAAGAAAGCUAAGAAGGAGUAGUUAAGUUUUGACCGCGGCACUUAGUGUAAUAUGAAUAACUCUUGUUUUUCAUGAGAUCAUGGAGUGAAAUUUUGUAAAGAAGUCCCUGAGAUUGUAAUAACAUCAUGAAUAAAUGGAAUUUAUUGUCUCAUGAUUGCCUAUGUUGAAACUGUAUGCGUUGUUUCUCUGCGAACAAAGAUCUCUGAACAUUUAUGAGGAUAUGAGAAAAUAUGGUCUAUGCAUGCAUGAGUAUUAUUCAUUUUAAGUGUGGUAGUAAUCGGUAAACCCACAGGAUCCACUGAGUAGGAAUGUACCAUGAUUACCAAGGAGACACAUACAUUCCUCUGAGUACCUAUUUACUGACACCUACAGAUGACACCUCUCUACGAGUCAUUCCUCAAGGGCCCAGAAACGAUCAUGACCCUGACCAGUGACCAUGAUUACCCGAAAAUCCUGAAGGACAUGAUGAAGCACAUUCACCUUGAAGGAGAUGCAGUCUACAAAGGCUACCCAUUUAUGGAAAAUUGAGUGGAACUUUGGUACGUGGAAGUACACCUCCACCAUGUGAAAGGAGUUUGUCCAAAGACUAUGGGGAAAUACUUUUUCAUUUCACGUGUACCGCGAGCAACCUUCUUUGAUGCUGUUCGUGAAGCUGCCAUGGAAGCCAUACGUCAGAUUGGAGAAAUACUUGAAGCAAGACUCCGUCAUACCCAGGAAUACCUGAGUGAGGUACGUGCGUAGAUGAUGGAGAUGAAGCUCAUGACCACCAUGAUGAAGCGAAAGAUGGAUGAUUUCAAGGAGUACCUCGGAAAGUUCGAGUGGAAGUACCUCCAAGAGAGACAGAUGAAUAAAGUUGGCAGAAAUGCUUGACCAUACCGAACAAUGUGGAUGGCAGCAUUUGUAAUAAAUUACUUUUGAGUUAGAAUUUUGAAGAAAGCAAGGAUGUAAUAAAGGAUAGAUUAUGUAAUGAAUAUGAUUUAUGGAAGAAGCUAUGAUGGAUCAGCAAACGUUUUCUUAGGAGCAUACGAAAGCCAGAGAGUUGUGGAGAUACGAUAGAUGUUUCGUUCAGCUUGCAGAACCAAUGGUUUAUCCGAACUUCGUUCGUGGACAAGAGAAACUCUGCAACGCUUGUGAGGAUGCCCAAGUGUUAGAAUGCGAGAUUCGCUAAACCUUAUACAGAGAAAUGAUUUGGGUGCGGAAUGGAUCGAUCACCAUGACGACUUACUCUUAUCAUUUAUCUUGCUAUUCAGAAUGGUAAAUCUGAGAGACUUACCCAUAUAGAGAGAUGACGUUCUUUGAAGCUUUUGUUUAAGACUUAGAGUGGUAUAAGAAAAGCCCAUGCACAUGGCACUUGUUGACACGCGUAGGAAAUUUUACGAUGAGAAUGAAACCAAGACCCCACUCUCUGCAAGAUAACCACAAAUGGUAUACCACCAUGAGAACCAUCGAUAUGUUAUUUAGAAUUGACCGCGAGACUGUCAGUUAAGAAGACCCAGUAAAGGAAGAAGCUUAUAUCAACGGAAGAACUCUCGAUUUUGAUGGAAAACGUUAUGAAUGUAACGAAAGAGCUUCACCAGAGGAGUUAGUAUGAAGACUGUGAGGAGUCAGAUGCCAAAACCCCACCGGAUUGUCAAAAAUCUUAUGGGACAAGUAAUCUUCAUUUUAAGUGUAGUAGCAUCCCACUUUGCUGGAAGUUGGAUUUGUUAGAAGACCCCCAAACCCUAACGUUUCUUUCUAGCCUCUUCGAAUCUCGAGGACGAGAUUCAUUUUAAGUGUGGUAGGUUUGUAACAUCCCAAAUUUUGGAAUGUUAAAAUAAUUAUUAGAUUGUUUGUUUGUUUGCUUGAGUGAUUGAAACUUGUGUGAAAUUUGAAACUUUUCAAAAACUUUUGAAUGAUAGGGAAUAAAAUGACUUUCCCCAUCUCUGAUGAAUUCAAAUUCAAUCUUUUAAAAGAAAAGAGAGAAGAUGACAUGACUUCUUCAACUAUAAAGAAUUUGAACGGAGUUUGCAUUUGAAUCCUUUCAAAUUAUUUGCCCUUGCUUCUAUAUUUUUCUUCCCCGAGAAAAUGCCCCGACAAAAUUCUUGCACGCAUGAAAGAGCGGAGGAAAAUGACCCUCCAAAAACCAGGGCCAUUGAUUGAAAUAUUUUGAGCCAAGAAAAAACCAAAAUUUAAUUUGAGAAAAUAAUUGCAAAAAUAAAUAAUGCUUUUAGGGAUUUUUUGGAAAAACAUUUUUUUAAGUUUUCAUUUUGGCCGUUGAAAAAUGCCCAUCAUUUAGAUUUUAUUUUUCUGAUAAUUUUAGUAUAUAGAAACCUUAUAUUCCGAAUUGAUUUGAUUUGCCUUUUAUCGUUUUAGUUUCCUAGUUUUGAAAAAGGAAAGAAAUCGUGUUUAAAUGGAAAUAAACGGUCGCCCAUUAAAACCUUUCCAAAAACUGGCCCAACAGGAUCUUCUUCUUCCUCUAUCUCCUUCCUCACGUGCAUAGGACCUUCCUUAGCCAUGGACAGAGAAAUCCUCACUUCCGGAAUUCGCGAAGUUCUUUCCCUCCUAGCCUCUCCCGUCGCCCCUAUAAGAAGGCCCCGGUCCUCCUCGUUCCAUUCCCGUUGGAAUCGCCGCCUCUCCCCACCUCCUCCCCCCCCCCUGUGGACCUCGGCGGAGUCGGCCACAGGAACUCGCCGGCGACCUUCCCCAUCGCCCCUGCACCCCCUCCCCACCCCACCGACUUUCCCCAUCGCCCCUGCACCUCCUCCACCACCCCACCCCGUCGCCCCCCUGCAUCCCUCCCCAUCCCCACCGAGCUCCCUGCCAGGAGUUCCCCGCCAAGACGCUAGGAGCACCGGAGCAGCCCCUGACGCCCCUCGCCCCUGCUCGACCAGGAGCUCCCAGGAGCCUCGCUGCCACUCCCUACGUCGCCCGCACCCCCCGCCGGCGACCCCACCCCGCCGGAGUUGCCCCCCCCCUCGCUGGAGUGCCUCCUCCUCGCCACUGCUUCUCUGGAGCACGAGGUAACUACCUCUCCUUUACYUUUUUUCUUUUUCUUUUUUUUCKUUUUAMUUAUACCAUUAGAUCUAGAAUCAACGCGGCAGAUUAGAAGCCCAGAUACCCUUUCGGUUUAGUUAAGAAAACCACUCAGAUUUCUAUUACAUUACUUUAGCCAAAGAGGUUUUAUUAGAUUUCGGCCGUCUGCUUAUAUGUCUCGCAGCAAACACCCCCUUAGCCAAUCAGAGAGCACCACGUGGACCCCCUGUUCACUAGUUGGAUUUUUUCUAUUUUCAGUUUAAUUCAAAAACAGAGGCAGAUUCAAUUUUCUUUUGAUCAUAACUUUUGAUCCACAACUCCAAUGGAGCUGAUUAUUUUUCCAGUAGAUCACAAUUUAUCUGUAGUUUUUAAAAACAUAUAAUUUGUCUAUGUUUGAAAUUUUCAAAUUUGAAUUAGAUCAGAUUUAGUUUAAACCUUGUUUUGCUUAUUCCAGGAGUUUAAAAAUAGCUUUUAAUUUGAUUCCUCUUGCUACUGAGCACUAGUGAUCUUAUUUAUCAGUGGUAAAAAUUUCAGAUUUAUUUGAGUAUUUUAGCUCAUUGUUUCUUGUGAAACAAUUUCUGUUUCACCUCUUUUAGGAUUAUGGUUAUUUCUUUUUUGUAAAUUGUUUUUAAAUUAUUUUCUUUCAUAUUUCAGAAACAUUAUUGUUUUGUUUAUGUUAGUUCACAGUUGUUUUUCAACAAGUUUUGAUUUUAAUUUAUUUGUUAUCAUGAAAUCAAUUCUAGUUCCUUAGUAACUUGCAAUUGGUUUCUCCACUGUUUCAAAUCCCGUUUGGAAAUACUUUCAAAUUGUUUUGUGAAAAAUACUUUAUUUUAUCUUAGUUAAAUUUAUAUCUUAGUUCCCUGUUAUUAUUUUCCGUUGAACAAAAACAAUUUAGUGUUUGAUGUAGUAGAAGACUCGCUAGUCUUAUUUGAAGUUUCCUUCGGAUUCCUAUUCGCUCUCUCUUUUGUUUUGAUUGCUAGAAUGAUUUCUAGUACGAGUGCUUAUGUGAAUGAUAUGUUUGUUAUAUAGAUUUCAUCAGAGAGUGACGAGUAGUCUAUCAAGUUAUUUCUCGAGAAAUUCUUCUUCGUCAACAUCACCACGCAAGUCACUUUGAUCGUACUAUCAACUAUGUUUUAUGCAUCAUAGUUCUACCAUCCUAUGCCCAAAUUGCAUGCUGCUUAGGUACUUUGAAAUUUUAGUAUAGGUUGUAGUAUCAUGUGGUAGGCACCCAACAACCCCGAUACUUGGCCCCGGGACGAGAAAUUUCAUAUUGCUAUGCUUGGGCAGACGGGAUUUCGGUUGAGUGCAUAACACGAGUGAUGCGAGGUUGAUUAAAUAAUCAAGACCGGUUAAGACAAGAUUUUCAAGACCUUGGACACAAUGCAACUCUGGGUGAAGGACAGUUGAUCCGCUCCCUGGAGAACCCAGUGGAUGACCCGGGAUGCUGGAGAGGCCAUGACAUCCUACAGAAAGCUUCACCCGGGCUCAAAGAGACGGAUGGGUAUUUUCAAGACUCAAGGCUUACCUGCACAGCCACAAGUCAUUAUGGGCUCUAGCUUGGUUGGACAACGCGGCGACUUUGGACAGACGGUGCUAGCAGAUGUAGAAGAAUGGUAGGAAUGGAUGGGCAUCGACAGGGAUACAGAGGGACCCGUUGAAAGACCAUGUUUUGAUCAUCCGGUCUUCAAACACCCUGAAGUGCGAGGACAUACACGGAGGCGAUCAAAUCUUGUGGGGAACGUGUGCAAAACUCUACAGAGUACUCAAACCUAAUCGAUUAGCCGUGUCCACGGUCAUGGACAACUUGAGCCAAAGGAACUGAAGUUAUCUGGAUUUCUCAACACCAUUAUAUAUAUUUGAUGAGGGUAAUUAUUGACAACUCGGGUACGAGAACUGGUUGGCGGAACCAUCUUGUUAACAACCAAGAAUGUAGUAACAUUUUGCUUUUAGCCCACUCUUGUUGUAGGAGAAAAACUUGCUUUUCGCUAAAAACUUAUAGCCCCACCUGCCAUAUAUGCAUAUAGUAUAGAUGAUUACUUUUCACCCCUCUCUUAUGUGACUUGCCGGCAUAUUCAAUAUGCUGACCUACACGGCUGCAACGUCUUAUGUUGCAGAUAUUUUUCUUCGACGAGUAAGAGUACGAUUCAGGGUUACGGUCUACACUCAACUUGCCGUUGGUGUUUAUUGGGACUCCACUCCCUUGACCGCUUCCGCUGGGAUGUUUAAGGUAUAUAUCAUUUUUACGCUAUUGUACAUGUGAUUGCACUUUGAUAUAUACAUUGAUGUACUGUGUGUGCCAGCAUACUGAUCCAGGGAUGGCACAGAAACACAGAGGCUUGACUCGUCUUGAGUCGGGUCCCUACAUCACCUUAGCUGUGCCAAGGGAACGAAAUCUGGUUGAUCGAGCGAGAGACAUUUAGCACUCCGCUUCUACUGUUCUCCUUGAUGUACUAGCACAAACCAAUUAUAGAUCAGGCUUGAUAUCUAGCACAUCAAGUAUAGGUCGGAAUUCGGGGCAUCAAAGGGAGUCCAUGAGGAAUAACUUCCAAAAUAAGUCAUACAAACCCUCACAGGGAGAUGGCUAAGAUUGUUGAUAGAAAAUAUAAUAUCAAAUCUUCCGCCUAGGUGUGUUAGCCACAACAUCACUUUACCGAGUUACAUAGAGACCAAUAUUAUAAUUCUUGGGGAAAGUUCCAACCAUUUUAACUGCCUGAGAUUCAGCUCCGGUUGGUGACACGAUGCUUCAGACUCAGCAUGUGUGAAAAGAAAGUUUGCAACACAAAUCGAUGGUAUAACGUUGCAAGAUUCUCAGGAAAUGAACUACGAAAGCCAACUCCAAAACAUGAGCUGGGUUGCAAGACACAUGUGAACACACUGCCCAAGACAAUGAUGACCACAUGAAAAGUCUUACAACAAAACACUACCGAGUUCUGGAUGGGGACCAUUAUUGCGGAUAACGAAACCAUGUGCAAGUCCGUUUGGUACCUUCAGGAAUGGCACUUAACUUCUUUUCCUUGAACAAAUCAAUCAGUGGCUUGGUGUGCUAGGAGAUACAUAUGGAGUGAUGAUGAUCAGUCUAUCAAACCAUAGAAUACUUCGCACAUGCAUGAUUGACUUGGGAUGAUUCCCAAGAAACAAAUUAACUUUUCUCGAAUUCACGGCAGCAACUUGCAUCAGAUGCACAUGAAUUAUGGGAAGUCACUUCUUACACCUAACAUAUACCUCGUGCUCGAGACACGAAGAUAAUGUCUACAAAGUUUCCAGGACUAGUUAAUGUCCAACAUAGAUCAUGGAACAAAUGAGAAUGUUGCCCAUGGGCUCAACAACAAUUCAUCAAGAUACCCAUAUAAAUGGAUUUCCACAACUAUGUGAGCAAGAUAAUAGCAUUGGUGAGAUCAAAGAAUACAAUAGUGUAGGCUCAAGGAAAACCCUGAGUACGAGUACGAAAAUCUUUGGUUCUGAGUUUGAUUUGACAAUAGCCCAUACUCAAAUCAAGGUUGGACAAGAUAAUAUAUGCAACAAUUGAUCACACGGAUCCACCGAUGACAAUAUAAUCUUUCUUCAAGAGUCUCACAACAGGAAAGAUAUCCCUUUAAAAUGAACUAAGUUUAGGCGAAGCUUUUAUCUUCCAACUCUCCAAGUUGUUGUUUAGCUUAACCAACUAGAUCGGGGUAUCCAACACGGAUUCUUGGAGAAAAUGGCUUAUAGAGAAACCAACUUGAUCACGAGCUCUUAUCAUAACACUCAGGAAACAACCUGGAAAUACUUCCGAGAAGAUAUUCGGAAAAUCACGAACCACCGAUAUAUUAUUAAGCUCGGGAAACAAUCUCGCUUUUCAAGGCAAGAUGAUGUGAUCAAUAGAGCAAGGGAUUGACACAAUCCGAUCCCAUCGAUUGAAAAGUGCACCAUGAAAUAUGGACUAGGUAGCACGGUCAAUCUUAGAAUGACGAUUCAAUCAUCAUCACCAUAAGAGUGAAUUUAUUAUCCAUUAGCUACCAAGCAAUAACGUUGCUAGGAGUAUUGAUUUCACACAUCAUGGUUCACUUGUCGAUAUUACAGUUACAACCAACACGGAAACCGAGGGAUGAAUAAUAAUAGCGAGAAGUAUCACUACAUGAAGAGCUCAUAAGAGAUGGUGCAAUUCGCACGACAUUCUUGACAAGAAGAGGGUAAUACUCCAAGAUAGGACAGAACAAAAGCUGGUUAGCAUUUCGAUCUGUGGAAUACAACUACUCUGACCCAAUCCAAGAAAUGGAUGAGGUACUGGAGUUUACUUCUCCCAGUCAUUCGAGAAUAGAACAACUUGACAAACCACGAAAUAGAAGACAUCGUUGACACGAAUGUACAACUACUUUUGACUAACCUCUCAAUGAUGAAGGUCAAAAUACAACUAGAUAGGGCCACCUCAAGAGCACAUGGUUUCUUGAGUUGUGGAUGCAUGGAUUAGCAUGUCGAACGGGUUCAACAUAAUUCUUCCAGAUAACCCAUGCAGAAGGGCGGAGUAGGAAGAAUCACAAUAUGGAGUAGAGAACUCAUCACGAGCACUCUUGUUAUGAUCUUUAGUUCACGGAGAACUUUUGCCAAAGAUGAUUCAUGGUGUUGGAAAAAUGAUAUACCAUGAACCUUGGGAGCUACAACAGGGUUACUAAUCAUUCUAAAGGAACUAGCAACACUAUCAACAGAGAUGAGCAGAAUGAUCCUUGGAUUCGAUGACCCAGAAAUAGAAUACCUAAAAACGAAAUAACAUCACGAGAUGUUUUUGAAAAUGAUGGCCAGAACUAUCACACUGGAAGACAUAGCACCCAUCUAGACUAUUGGGUAGUUUUCGGAGUAACAUGGUUUCCUAAUACUUCAAAAAAAACAUCGAGGUAAUGGAGUACCUCAACACAGUGAUUAGUGUGCUUUGUCUGGCCAAAAGACAUUAGAAAUAAGAGGAAGGAAGUUGCAAUUGCAACAGAUUAUUUAGAAACUUUGGAAAAGUCGGACAACAUAACGGCUGUGCGGGCAUGAAAUAUGAGGCACCCUGCAAGAAAACGAACAACAUAACAAUUGAAUUCUUAUGGAGACACUGAUCCAGGAAGAAAACAACUUUUCUAUAAGUCUCCAACAUAGUAACUCGUCAUCCUAAUGAAUACAUGAGAAAUCCUAACUAUUAAACCCCGUAGAAUAAAGAAGAGGAUGACUCAGAAUAAGAAUGACACAAGGAAAGGAGUAAAAGAGCCUUACGUUACCUUCCACAAACAAUUACCUUAUAUAACUAAAGAGUUGCUAGACUCAACAUCGACCAGUUUGGCUUGCUUAUCCUACAUGCAGUCAAUCUCUGAUACCAAAGUUGUCGGGAGCCCGAUCCUGAGUCAUAAGAACCCAACCUGUAACACAUCACAUCACUUUGCGGCCUCACGCACGGCAAACUCCACGGCUGCCACCUUACCUUGGCCCGGACCGUUUACAUCUUUUGGCUCACGUAUAUGAAUAUGUUGCUAGCGUUCAAACGACAAAGAACCUAGGUCGACAUGACUAGUUAUAAACCCAAGCGGUACAUCUGUACAGGGACAGACAUACAUAACCCAGCAAAGCAGGUGUCGAUCAACAACGUGUGUAGACGAGUCGUAGCAAGCUACAAGGACUCCAUUACACCGCGUGACAUUUCCCCGAGGGGACAGACACAACAGCAAAGAAGGAUACACGCCGGUCAAUCAAUGUGUCUAGAGCAGUAGAAAGCUACCAAGGCUCGAUAGAAGCACAAAGAGGCAUUUCCCUGUAAAGAGUACUACUAAAGGCACACAACUAGGUGUCGAAUCCCACACAUAUAAUGCAUUUCAUAACAUACACACAAUAUGCACGAUAUGUGUAGAUGCAACAUGGCAUCACAACAUAACUCUACGACUCAAGCUUUUAUUAAGGACUCAUAAGAAUCAACAUAGUGUGUUAUUACAAAAAGGGGUCCCGUAACCCGACACUCAAGUCAUACAAACAACAAGCAGAAGCAAAACAUGUCUGGGUACAGACAUCUACUAAAAAUUGUUGGAAGAGCCUGAAAAGCUACUACGACCCUACCAAAGGAGCCAGACCUUUGUCUGGGAUUCCCAAGCUAUUCCGGUCAACGUCGAACACAUCGCUUAGAACCUUAUAAUGAGUCUAAAACUUCUCUGCAAAAACAUAAAUAAAGCAACAGUGAGUACAAAGGUAAUCAGCAAGACUUACAUCAGAACUAUCUACAUAUGCAUCAUGUUUCAAUGGAAGGAUUGUGUGGUUUGAUUUCAGCAAGCCAGCUUUGACCCUUGGCUAGCCUGUACUACGACUAAAAGUUCUUUUUUUGAGGUGGGAUAGCGCACACGAGUCCACAUAUUCAUCAAUCAAAACACCACUAUGGAUUCACUCUCGUCUCCCUACGAUAAAGCCUUCCAUAGCACUCACACUUAUCUUGCAUGUUUUAGAGUAUCCAUUUAAAUUGUCUAUGUACCACGUAAUGCUUCCAAGUAGUCCAUAUCCGAGGACGUGGCUAUUCGAACAGAUUAAAUCACCCUACAUGGGUAUACUUCUUCACGCACGUUCCGACCACUUAUCACCAUGUGCAAGUCAUGCAUCUCGGCAACCUUCAAGCGGAAGCACUGGCGUGGGUGUCGGCCAUGACCGUUAACCACACAAGACCCUAGUCAAGGUUUAUCGCCUAUUUGUGACUGAACCCGCAAGGAAGUCCGGCCGAGGUUUCCUCUACGGCCCCAAACGAUGUGCGCAGUGUUCCCAAGCCCACCAUCCGGGUGCCACUUGAUACACCGUGCCACUUUGUAUCUACCGUAGAGAAGCCCACCCCGUCGGGCCGAGCUAAACACGGCCGCCAACACUUUUCCUACAAACAGCAGAAACUAGUUGCAACUCCUGGACAGAGAUCUAGGCGAUUAAUAACCCAAGAGGGUCAAUUAAGUAUCCCAAUUUGUGGUAGUAUCUUGUCUUGGAUAACAUACACAUAACUCAGUUCUUAAGGACGGUCCCAAUGAGACAACCCACCAUGUACUCCUAUAUGGCCUCUCAUCGCUACCUUUACCAAAUCGGAUUCACACUUUUACUCUCCCACUAUAGGACAUGAACACAACCAUUCUGAUUCAUCAUCCAGAUAGGUCAGACCCGACACGACUCUAAGCAUAGCAGGCAUUGUAAACAAGCAUGGAUGAGUAAGCACAACAAGACUCAAGCAGUUGCUACUCAUGUUAAGUGGUUUCAACUAUUUACUGUGACAAAAUCAGGUCAUGCAGAGGAAUGGGUUCAACUACCGAUAACAUGUACAAUUGAAUCGUGUUUGUCCUAAUGCAGUAAAAGAGAGAAGGAGCGAGAGAGAGGGUUUAUAUCAAUAUGCUCAAGGGGGUUUGCUUGCCUGACAUGUGUGAAGAUAGCAAUGAGUCUUCAUCAAUGUCAACGAUCACAUCGUCGGAAACAUCGUCUACUGAGAGGGAACAACACCGGCAAACAAGAAAGAACAACAAUUACUUCACGGAAAUGCAACACUAUGAUGCAUGCUCAAGACAUGAAAUUAAAGGUGGCAGGGCUAAUCUAUCAUUUCUUAAGUUGAAGUUGGAUUUGAAUUUGAAUUCAAAUAUCACUUCAAGCAAGGAAUUUUCCGGAUACCCUUUUAAUUGAUUUGACCUGAUGCUCAGGUACAACUUGUUUUUUUAACAUGCAUGAAGAUGGUAUUUUGAGGUAUUGAUUUUCCUUGAUCAAUGUUUGGUCAUAUCAAUUGAAGUGGAAUUCAAAUAGGUAUCAAAUUCCAACUCCAAACUAAUUAUUAAAUUUAUCCUAUUCACCAUUUGGCCUAUUUGGUGAUUUUAACUUUUUCGAACAUGCAUGAAAAUACCAUAAUCAGAUUCUUUGGUUUUUUCUGAUCAUUUUUCAUAGAUAAAUUAUUUUCAUUGGACUUACAAAUUAUUUUCUAUGAUUUUUAGAAGUUUUAGGCAUUUUCUGGAAUUAUUUUAUAAUAGAAAAUCAAUUACUGCGUCAGCACUGCGUCAGCACUGCGUCCGCAUUGCGUCAGCAGUCAACUGUCCUGGGUCAGGUCAAACCUAACAUGUGGGGUCCACACAUGAGUGACACAGUUAAAUUAAGAGAGUUAGGUUAAUCUUAAUUCUUAUUUUAGAGCUAUAGGGCCCACUGUCAGUGAGUCAUUGUUUAACUAAAUAGUUAUUAGGCGCUAAUUAAACACCUGACCGGCUGGGCCCACAUGGGAGUGGCUCAGGCCGAUGAGGUCGACGCCGGCGACCAACAGAGUGACGGGGGCUCACCGGAAUUCCUCGAUCUCGUGCUAUAGGCUUCGGAUUUGCACGCGGUUGAGUUCUACGGAUAGCUGAUGAAGCGCAACAUCCAUUCCAACCCAGCCAGGAGGUGGCUGGAAUGAGGCCGGCGACGACCUCGGGCGGUGGCUGGAGUCGGCCAUGGUAGGGCUAGUGCUAGAGGGCAGGAACGGAAGGGGAGAGCACAGGAGGAGGAGCAGGAGCUCACGGCGGUUCCAAAGGAGGCAACAGUGACGGAGGAGGAGCUCGGGGCAUGGCGAAUCGACCUCGAGGUUGCCGGCGGCCGGAGAUGGGGAGGGAGCUCGCGCUCGUCGUCUCUGGGCCCUGCGGUCCGAUUCCUUCGGCGGUGAGGUUGAGGGCGAUGCAGCUGAGCUACCGGGGAUCUUUGGAGGACUUCGGGUGGUUGGAGGUGUCGGUGAGCUCGAGCCGAGGUCGGCCAUGGCGAGAGGAAAAAGUKCAGAGGGGGAGAGAUAAGGGAGAGAGAGAGGGAGGGGCUCGGGGGAGGACGAAAAGAGAGGCACGGGGGGGGGGGGGUGGGGUUGCUAGCGCGGAGAAGGCGAGGAGAGGCUGCCACGACGAGCAGGAGGUGGCAAGGUGAGCCGCCAUGCUCAUCUUCUCCCCUGCUUUCUGGCAGGAGGAGGGAGACGAUAGGGAACCCCCCUUGGUGGGCUGGGCCUGGAGGUAAGCGUCACGUAAAUUCUCUCUCUCUUUUCCUAUUUUUGUUUUAUUUCUUUGUGGCAUUUAGAUUUAGGUUUAAAACAAAAUGUUUAAAUAUUUUAUUAAACCCUAAAUUAGUGUUAUGUGAGAGAUAAAGAUAAUCAAUGCCACAUAAUAGUUUCAACAUUUUUGAAACUUUUAUUUUAAAAGAAAACAAAAUAACUCCAUUCCGAACAAUUAUUUGAUCAUGUCAAAAAUCCUUUUCAAAAUGUUCCAGUGACUUCAAAUUUUGGGUUGACAAAUUUAUUCCUUGUCACUAUUUUCCCAAAUAUUUGGAACAUUUUCCUGGUUCCUUCUAAGGUAUUAAUUUUUAUUGCCUUGUUGCCAAUUUUUCAAAUCAUUGGGGUUUUGAUUACUUCCUAUUUUAAACAUCAAAGUUUUAUAAUGCAUGCAUGAAUGCUUGGCAAACAAAUGAAAGCUAGGGCUGUGGCAUCCAUAUAUUAUUUCACAAUGAUAUUUAGCUAUCCGAUGAUGUUUGAGUAGAUCCGUUUUGUCCUAUGGGUUAGUUGUGGUAUGAUGCUAUUGAUAUGAUUUGUAUGUUGAUAUGGUGUUGUCCUAUGGUGCCCUCUGUGUUGUGCAAGCGGAGGGAUCCCCGUUGUAGGGUACUGCAAUAUGUCCAUAAUUUGCUUAUGGAGGGUUGCUUGAGUCACAGAUGCAUAAACCCAAGUAGGUGGGGUAUGGCGUAUGGGAGUAAAGAGGACUUGAUACUUAAUGUUAUGGUUGGGUUUCACGACCUUAAUGAUCUUUAGUAGUUGCGGAUGCUUGCUAGAGUUCCAAUCAUUAGUGCAUAUGAUCCAAGUAGAGAAAGUACAUUAGAUCAUGCCUCUUCCUCAUUGCAUAUAACAAGUAUCUAUUGUAUCAUAUUCAAUUGCAUAGGGACAAUCUUUCCAUUGCGUUACAAAAAGCUUUAUGCAUCACUACCAAGUUUUUUUACUUGCAACGUACUUCGAGUUUACUUAACGCAAAGUAGUUUCAUAGUAAUUAUAGGUGGAGCAAGCAUUAGCGUGCGUAGUUUUGUAUCGGUGGUCAAUAGAACUUGAGGGAAUAUUUAUUCUACCUUUAGCUCCUCAUUGGGUUCGACACCCUUACUUAUCGAAAAAGCCAACAAAAGAUCCCCUACACUUGUGGGUUAUCAAGACUAAAUUCCAUUACGUGGAUGUCAAAGUCACAAAGUUGGCUUCAAUUGUUGAGCUCCUCCAGCAUGAGGUUGAUGCAGUGCAUAUAUCCCAUUCUAGCAGUGAUGAUGAAGAGUCUCCUCUUCCAACGACUACUCAGUUCAGGACACAGUCUAGGUCUGCAGUUGUGCCAGUGGAAGAAGCAAUACCAACUUCGUCACCUCAAGCAUCAGCGCCUUUAUCUCCAACUCCAGCUCCUGCACCUCCAGAGUCUACAGCUCCACCUCCAGGGACAUCCGCAGAAGCCUUUGCCGACGCUCUCCUGUCUACUCCAUCGACUCCUACCGGAGGAGAUCAAGCCUAUUGUGACGCUUAGUUCUAGACCUUUUAACUUUUGGGUAACUUGUUGCCAAAGAGGGAGAAGUGUAUAGAUCAAUUAGGGCUGAUAGAGAGAGAGAGCUUUGCUUUUAUUUUCUCUCAUUUUGGUUUUUCAAAACAUUUGGUCUUUUGGUCCUUUGGAUGACUUAAUCUUUACUCCAUGGUCAUUUAUUUAAUUAGACAUGGGAAAAUCUAUUACAUAUAUCAUGAUAAAUUUGUUAGAUAUAUCAUGGAAGAUACUUUAAGAUGUCACAUUGUUUUCUCUUAUUCAUACCAUGGAAAAUUUAUUUAUUAGACCAUGGUAGUUUUAUAAUAUGUAGCAUCGAAAUUUUAUCUAUUCAAACAUGGAAAGUUUAUCAUAUGUAGCAUGGCAUUUUUAUGAGUUGGACUAUGGAAAAUUUUGGAAUUCUAUUAUUUACCAUCUUUUUUUCAAAGAUAAAAUUUCCUAAAAAUAGAUUUUGCCCCUAAUUAUAAAUAUAAAAUAAUUGUCAUGUUUCUCAGAGAACAUAAUUAAUAAUUUUUUGUCGUGUUAUUAUUAGCAAAUCAAAAACAUUAGACCAUAAAAUUUUAUUAAUUAGUUCAUCAAAAAAUUGGAAUUCUUACAAUGGCCAAUUAUUAAUUACACCAUUUGCAAUUUUAUUCUAAAUUCCAUGGCAAUUUCAUUUACUAGACCAUAGAUCUUUUUUAAUUAAACCAUGGUAGUUCUAGUUUUGUAGCUACCAUUACAAUUCUAUUUUUUAGUCAAUGGCAAUUUAUUUAAUUAUACCGUGGCAAACUUAUUACAUAUAGCAAGGACAAUACUUUGUAUAUAAGAAUGGCAUAUUUUAUUGAUCAUUCCAUGGAAAAUUAUUUUAGUAUGUUCCAUUAUAAUUUUCAUAUUGCAUAUAGAUGAAAAAACAUGGAGUCAUGGAAAAUUUCUCUAUGUUUUUCAUGUACAUUUCCUAUUAGUUAUGUAUGUUUAUUUUUUCAAACAUGAAAUUUUACGGGCAUGUGACCCUUCUGUAAAAAUGAUAUACACUUUGUCGUGUCACCAAUAUGUAUUUUUCCGCAAUUUUCCCAUGUUACCAUUUUAUAUGAAUCAUGUUAGACACCUUUUUUGUGCUUGUAAUGUAAGUACCUUUAUUUUAUAUAACACAAAAAUACUUAGUUUAACUAUACAAGUUUUUCUACACAAUACCAUGAUGGUUUUUGUGUGCAUGAUGGCAAGUUUUUCAUUUAUUUUUUCUACUUAUUUUGACGCUUGGGCCGUUUUUGGGUUUUUAUUAGAGGGAAGGAAAUUAAUGAUGUUGGAAACCCAUCAACGGCUAGAAUGUUUGGACUAUGGGGUUUCCUCGAGUGAGCAAAAAAAUUCACUCGGUUAGCGUGUAGGUUUUUAAUCAAUAUUUGAUAACGCAAUCAAAUAGAAUACACACAGUUAGUUAACAUAUUUGAUCUGAUUACACUUAAUUACUUUAUUUAAUUCAAUAUAAUAUAUAUAAUCAUUUAGUUAACUAAUUAUUUUAAUUAAAGGUUAGAAUUGUGGACAUAUGAUUAUAGGAUCAAAAGUAUGUCUAGAAGGAGGUGAAUAGACUACUGGCAAAAAUUAAAGGACUAUUUUCCCAAUUUUGAUUACUAGUAGAUUCAAACUUAGCUAGAAAUACAAUAGAACCCUGAAAAUGCAUGUCUAGAGUAUAAGGAGCAGAAACAAUGCAUGCAAGUGCAACUAAUGUACAUAGUAGAGUUUGAGAGAAUCACAAACAUAAGUUGAUACGGUGUAGAUUCUUUACCAUGGUUCCAAGAAGUGGUGCUAUCAUACAUACACAUUAAUGGAGUCUUCGAUCCAUGGAGGAUCUAAUAUCACAUAGUAGAGUUGCGAGAUCCCAUGGAGGAAUCGAUUUCACGAAGAUCUCACACCCACAAAGGAUCCAUGAAGGAGCAACCUCACCUAUUCCACCAUGGCUUACGCCCAUGAAAGACUAUGCCGAGUCAGGUAGAUCUUCACAAAGUAGGAGAUCUCCAAGGCCUCACAAACAUCUUGGCCUCUGCACAAUGGUUGCAGACUUCUAAGCACUCCUGGCCGAUCUAGAAGGCACUAGCCUCCGAAAGGUAAUAGAUGGAGUUAUUUAUGAUGAACUCCUUUCUCUUGUGCUUGAAAAUAUAAUCACCGCAAAACUCAAACACUCUCAUAGAUUUUAGCUUUUGGGAGUUGAGGUUUUGGAUGAACAAAAUGAGGUGACUUGGUCUUAAACAAUUAAAGGUUGGAGUGGAAUCAUUAAUAUCAUCAUCGCUUUGAAAAAUAUGUGAUAUACAAGAACACCCCUAAAUUUUGCAUUAAUUAGAUUUGUGUUUAAAUGCAAUUGCAUAACAGAUUAGGAAUAUGAGGACCUCUUGUAUGCCGCAGACAACUUGGUGUGCACAAAUAUAAUAUAAAAAAAAACACCAAAACACAUGUCAAUGACCACCAAAGAUACACUAGAGCUUAGACGAGUAGCAUAAGUAUAGUAGCACACUACUUUGGUUCAUCACAUACAAAUAAAUGAGUUUACAAGGCAUAAAAUUCAAGUAAAGUAACAAGGAAUGUUACUCGGUAAAAUAAACGCUCCCUAACUCAAAGUUAUAUUAUAUAUAUAUCACUCCCCUUUUUAGUAGUGGGAGAGACAAGGGGGCGAGCAAGGGCCUGCCCCCCUAAUGAUCGACAAUUUAUUUAGAGGCUACAAGUAAUUACCUGCUAGAUUAAGGAAUAUAAAUACUUUCGCCCCUUAACCCAAACGAAGAUUAUGAAGAAUUACGGGCAAAAGGCCCAAAGAAAAGCCCACUCCUCAACAAGGAAUCUAUUACUUGGCCUAUGGCGUUAUCCUAAAUCAAGCCAACCCCUGAGCAUGAUUAACUUGUAACCUGAGACGAUUAGCUCUAGCGAUGGCCACUGCAUCGUGCCCUCACACUACUCGUGAAGUCGAUUAGAAUGAGGCGAAACCGGCUCCGCAACUGGCGAAUCAAGGUUGCACUCUGUCAAUUCUCAAGGGGUCCAGCCCCAAGGUUAGGAAUAUUGGGAACUACUCUAUCUACUAAUCCCUAUCAUCUCUAAUCUUGUAGGAGUUGAAAUUGUACACCCAACUUUAGUUAUUUUGACGGUGUGAUGUAUGAUUCUAAUUCACUUUCAGUUUCUUUCAUUGUUUGAUUUGUGAUGUGGUCAUGAGGGAAAACGGCUUCAAACGACAUAAAGAUUAAUUCUCUUUUUAAGUACAUUGUUUUAAGUUCUCGACCUAGAAUAAUAUUGUCAAUGAGAUUAUUGGCAAUUUUUAGCAAUCACAAUUAAGUGGACAUGACUUCUUUGAAAUUAUUGAAGGCACAAUUCCACCCUAAGGUGGUUUUCGUAAUUAAUAAAAACAUAUGUAUCAUUGAACUAAUGAUUCUAUCCAAGUAUAUUUCAGAAAAGUUCAAAGUUGCACCGGCUAAAUGGUUGUGAGUAGAAACCCCUUGGUGCAAGGAAAGGAAUAGGAUUGGCCAAACUUGAAGCAAGAGGAAUCUACAUUUUAUAUUUGUGAGAAAUCACUUUUGAGUCCAUAGGAAAGUCAGUACUAUUAAAAGGGGGUGAGGUAUUUAUGAUGAAUUGAUUGCGCAAGUGCUUAGCAAUAGCCACCAAAAAUACUCGACAUUCCUCUCACUAAAAAUCUCAGUCCAAAGCCUUUACACCAAAAUCGGUGCCACCAAGAAUUCCAUUUCGGCCCUACCGAUUUUACAAGUGAUAAUGCUUUGCCAAACCCUAAUCUCUUGGUACCACUAACUUUCACAUCGAUGCCACCGAAAGGCAAUGACCAACUCUCUAGUAACUCUAUUUGAAGAAUCAGAACUUCCGAGAUUGAAAUCGGCACCAUCGAGAUUUGGAAACUGUCCUAGGUCAUCGAAUCGGUACCAUCGAGAUAUAUAUCAGUCUCACCGAGAAUUCAAAAGUUGCCACAUUUAGUGCAACUCGAUACCACCGAGAUUCAUUUCGGUGUCGCCGAGUUGGGAAAUAAUGUUGUAAUGGUUGGAUUUGGAUAUGCCUAUAUAUAACACUCCACCACUAUUAGAGCAUAUUUCUCCAUAUGUGAUUUUGGUAAUUGAUGACAAUCCCUAUGUACUAAUGGUUGCCUUAAGAUAUAUUUGUAGGAUUUGUCCAUAGGCACUUCUUGAAGUCCAUCUGUUGGUUUCAAGGAGUUUAUGUGAUGACUAAGGUGGUAUCCAAGGUUUUAUCCAAAGAUUGGUCAUAAAGACGCAAAGUUGAUCAAGACUAAGUCAAAGAGUAAAUCAAGUUGAUCAACACACAAAGCGUACAAGAUGUACCGAGAAAGAUCAAGUGAUCCCAUGGUAUGUCAAGCAUUGUCCAUUACGCUUUGUGUACUAACCCAUGGUAUUCAUGAGAGUUCUAUGUAGGGUUAGGUGUGUUUCCAUGGGUUUGCGUCAAGAGGAAGAUCUCAUUCAACCCAUGGAAGAUUGUGGUGUGCAAGUUCAAGUGGAGCAUCAUGAAGAUAUCAUGCUUGAAGCUUGUCGUCCAUUGUGGUGGCAAUGGACUUGUGAAGAUGUGUUGAAGAGUAGCUCACCCAUAGUGGAGUAUGGAGGAAAUUUACAAGUCUUCAUCGAGCCAGCACAAUCAAGAAAGGUGGUUCAUCUUGAGGAAGUCAAGAGCAUCAUAAUCUACCUCAAGUGGAUAGCUACAAGAUAUUGGUUUGCCCUUAAUAGGUUUUUUCUAUUUUAGGAUAGAUUGUCGUAUUGUCAAGGAGGGUUCUCAAGUGAAUAGCUUGAUUGUAUCAUUCGUUGAGAGCUCAAACCAUUUGCAUCCUUGCAUCAUCUUUCUUGGUUCUUGUUUGGUUGUUCUCUUUGUGAGUUCAUGUGCAUCCUCUAUGAUGUUUUCGAUAUUGGAGUUUUUGUCGGUUCUUCAUUCAUAGAGGUUUCACAUCUCUGUAUCAUUGGCAUUUUUCUACUACAUCUUCUUGCAAUAACCAUUCGUUGAUUGGCUAACACUUAUCGUGUGUAAUCCAACAAGUUAUGGUUGUUUUUGGCUUACCUGUUUUUCACUAAGAGUUUGUACCACCCCUAAGAGAGGUUGUACCGCUAUAUUACAUUUACCGGUUGCACCGCCCCUAUGUUCUUCUGCACAUAACGAGCAGAUUUGUGGGGACCUAUUUAAGGGGAUAUUCUUCCCCAAUGGUUCCCUAACUCUUGAGCUUGUUUUUGCCCCCCAUUGUUGACCUUCUUAGAGCUUGCUAACUAUCAAUCCCUCCAAUGAUUCUUGCUCCUUUUUGAGGGAAACAAGAGAGGAGAUCUAGAUCCACAUUUCCACCAAUAACUUUCUCCUCUAUGUGAGGGGAAUCCCUUGGAUCUAGUUCUUGGAGUUCUUGGUUUUCCUCUUUGUUCUUACUCUCAUUUUCCACCAUAGCAUUAGCUGUUGUGGUGGGAUUUGGGAGAGAAGGACCUGGGCACUCCAUGUGCCCUUGCCAUUGCAUUUGGUGCAUUGGUUUGAGUUCUCCAUGGUGAUACGUGGAAGUAAUGUUUGAGAAUCUUAUUACUCUUUGGUGCUUGGUACCUUAGAGCUAGUUCUUCUUGGAUGCUUUGGCAUCCUAUAACCUUGGUGGUGCCUCGGAGCUCAAUCAUUGUGGUGUAAAGCUCCAGGCAAGCGUCGGGGUCUCCAAUUAGGUUGUGGACAUUGCCCCGAGCAUUUGAGGUUACCUUGAAGCCAUAUUCCAUUGUCGUGAAGCUUCGUGGUGUUGUUGGGAGGCUCUAAUUAAGUUGUGCAGAUUGCCCCCACCUUAUUUGUAGUUUGUACGGAUUCACUGACCUCCCUCAAGGGUCCCUUAGUAGAAUCACGACAUCUUGCAUCGUGCGAGGGCGUGAGGAGAUUACGGUGGCCUUAGUGGCAUAUUGGGGAUCAUUGUGGCUCCACACCGCUCCAAACGGAGAUUAGCAUCCGCAAGGGUGUGAACUUCGGGAUACAUCAUCGUCUUCACGUGCUUCGGUUAUCUCUUACACCCGCCCUUUACUUAUGCACUUUACUUUGUGAUAGCCAUAUUGUUUCUUGUUAUAUAUCUUUCUCUCACAUAGUUGUUUAUCUUGCUUAGCAUAAGUUGUUGGUGCUCAUAGGUGAGCCUAGUUGUUUUAGGUUUUGUGCUUCACAAGUUAACUGUUGAUUUUAUUCCGUAUUUGUUCAAGCCUAAACUGUAAUAAUUUUAAAGCGCCUAUUCACCCCCCUCUGGGCGACAUCCACGUCCUUUCAAUUGGUAUCAGAGAUAGGUCUCUCGUUAUUAGGUUUUACCACCUACAGAGUAAGGAUGUCGAGUAGGCGAUUGGGAUUCUCUAACACUCUUAGUUUUAAUGGCACAAAUUUUGAUGUUUGGGUAAUUUACAUGCUUAAUCUCUUUAGGGUCAUGGACCCAAAUUUAGAGUGAAUCGUAGAUGUGGGUUUUUUUUCCUCCAAAGGAUUCUCAAAACAUAUAUUUAGAGGAUGAGAAAAACUCUUAUCUCAAUGCUCAAGCUUCUAAUGUGCUUUUUGAAUCUUUGAGCAAUGUGGUUAUAUUUCAACUCAUGUCAUUCUGGGAUGCUCAUUAGUUGUGUACAAAGCUUCAAGAUAAAUAUGGUGUGUCCAAGAUUUGUAGGGAUGAUUUUUCUCCCUCCACCUCCGGCCGUGUUGUAUUCUCAACUUCAUCUACUUCACCUACAUGUCGAUUUCCACAAGGUAAUGAUAUGGUGAGUAGUGGUGAUCAUUGCAAUGAUGAUAGUGGGCUUAUUGUUAAUGAUACUUCAUCACUAUCAUAUUGUAAUGCUUCAUCUUUGGGCGUUAACACUUCGAGCACUCUAAAUGUUUUACAUGCCUGUGUUGAUAGUCCUUGCAUAUCAUGUAAAAACUGCUUGACUAAAUCUCAUGAUGAUAUGCUUUCUAUAUCUUGUUGCCAUGAUAAAAAUGUAUCUAUUUCCUCAAGUUGUUGUGCUAGCAAUGUAGAGGAAAUCCAUCACUCCAUGUAACAAGAUGUGGCCUUUAAUGAUGCUUCAAGGGAUCCUUCAACAUCAUCUAUUGUUUCUCAUUUUCGCCUUAUGGCUAAGGCUUCAAAGGUAUCUCCUACUUUUGAAUCCCAACAUAUCUCAUGAUGAUGAUGUGGAUGAAACUGUGGAUGGAGAUAAUGAUGAAGAGAGUGAUAAUAUUGCAUCCUUAAAACAUAAGGGUGAAAUGAUUUUUAAACCUCUUCAUAAGAAUAAUCUUGCUCAUUCCAACUUCAUGGAAAUCAUGUCUAUUGCCAUUGAGGGCAAGAAAUAUAUUGAGGAGUUGGAAGCUCAUCUUGAGGAGCAUGAGGCCACCAUUGAGACAAUGGAAGGUCAUGAGCGUGAUUACGCUAAUGAGAUAGCAGAGCUAUCCCAAGGUCUUGAAAAUGAACAAACCACCAAGAAAUCUCUUGACGAGACCUUUUCUAUAGAAUUAUAUAGAUUAAAGGAAACCCAUGAUAAAGCUCUCGAGGCGGCUAAUGAUUUUAGAACUAAAACUUAUAAGCUUGAAGUUGCUCAUGCUAGAAUCCUUGAGGACUAUGAGCACCUCGAAAAUGGCUCAAGGGCUAUGAAGAGUUUGAUCAUCGAACUCACUGAUUUUCAUGCUCAAUUUGGAGCUUCAUAUGCAAAUGAGCUUGCCAAGUUGCCUUCUCCUCUUGUUGUUGAUAAUAAUGCCUGUGCUUCUAUCUCUAUUUCUUGUGAAUCAUCCAUAUUAAAGGAGAAUGUUGAGCUAAGGGCUCAACUUGAGUUGCUAUCUAGCAAUUAUGGGAAAUUGGCAGAAAGUCAUGCAAUGCUCACAAGCUCUCAUGAUGAUCUCCUAGUAUCCCAUAAUAUGCUAAAAUUAGCUCAUGAGGCUAUUACUACCAAGGUAACAUCAAGUGAGCCUCAUGUGGACAUUAGCACUACUUCUAGUCAAAAUGCUAUAUUGCCAUGUGCUAGUCCUCGUAAAUCAUCUACUCAUAAUGUUGCUACAUCUUGUGAUGAAUUACUUUCCUUACAUUGUUUCUCGAACAAUGAUGCUUAUAAUUCCUCGAGUACUUGUGUUGAUACUAACCAUGAAGAGGAAAUCAAAGAGCUCAAGUCCCAAGUCACUUCUUUGAAGAAAGACUUCCAAAAGAGUCAUGAAGGGAUGUCCACACUCAACAAUAUCCUGUGUGGGAAAAAAUCCCAAAAUGGCAAAGGUGGACUUGGAUUCAACUCCAAUAAGAAGAAGAAGUCCAAGAGCAACAAUAAGAAGGGCCAAGAACAAAUCAAGAACUCGGCCAAGAUUGCUUGCUUCAAGUGCAAGAUUGAAGGGCAUCAUGUUAGAUCUUUCCCAUUGAAGAAGAAGCCGCAUAGUCACAAGCAACAAGGGAAGCGGCCACAAGUUCAAUUACAUGCUCAACCACAAGUUCAAGAAAGUCUACUUCCCAAGAAUAUCCAAGUAAACGCUCCUCAAAUUAAGAAAUCAAUUGAGAAGAAAGUAAAGGGUAGGUGUUGCUACUUAUGUCGUGAGAAGGGUCACUUCGUCUCUUCAUGCACGAACAGUAACUUAUCCAACCCAAUCAUUAUUGAUGAUAUCUAUUCUGUUGGGAAGGAUAAAGUUGUCAAUGUGUUUGCCAAGUUUGUUGGUACUCCAAGUGGUGUCAAGAAAAGAACCAUUUGGGUAGCCAAUCCUAUUGUGACUAACCUCUUAGGUCCCAACUUGGUUGGGGACCCACAAACUCAAACUUUAUCAAUAGGUGAUGUUUGAAGGCAUUAGAGACUUUGCUAAAUUAUGAACAAUUAAGGGAUCUUCAUCAUUAAAAUUAUCUCAAGCCAAGUCAUUUGGAUGAUCGAGUUUCCAUCUUAUAUCCAACGUGCCUCCUUACGGUAACUUGUACUUAAAUUGGUUACAUUGUUAGUUACUUUCUCCUAUGCGUGUUGUGGUUUUUGCCUUGCAUGUGCUUGUAUAUAUUGUGCUUCCAACUUGCUUAUCUUGAGUAUUCAAGUAUGUGUAUAUUGGUUUGCACAUCUUGUACAUGUGAGUUUUGUGUUGAGACUUUUUGCAUUGCUUGUAUCUUAGUUGGCUCUUUUGAGAUAUUAAUGGAUUAUCGCAUUGUGGGGGAGUGAUGUGCUUUGCGCACCUCACAAUCCUAUAAAUGUGUAUAUAUGAGGAAUACCACUUAGUAUUGAUAUUUGAAGAUUAUCUAGUCUCUAUGUGGUAUGUCUUACUCAUGAGAAAUUCAAAUUCUAAAUGGUCCAUUAAUUAUCUCUUGUUGGUUUUCAUUUUCCACUUGUUAAUAAUAUUAGGUUAUCACAUUAUGAGGGAGUAAUAUGCUAUGUGCAUAUUACAAGCCUAGAAAAUGUGUAUAUUUGAGGUAUUGCCACUUAGUGUUGAUAUUGUAGAUUAUCUAGUUCCUGGGUGCCAUGUUAGCUCUACAAGUGUGAGUUCCUUGCAUUUUAGGAGUAAAGAUGAUGUUGGAUAUUUUUGCAAUCUACCAAUGGAAAUUGUUUCCAAAUACUUCUUAUCCUUUGACAAUUGGUAUUCCCAUCAUGUGGUAGAAAUUGCUAAUCAUCUUUACAUUGGAUUUUAUGUAUCGUUUGUCUUCCUUGCCUCUUCUCGAUUGGUUUGAACAUGUCUUGUGUUUCUACAGAUAUAGAAAAAGUGAUGAUACCAUCUGGUGUUGUCGGCGAUGCUAGGUCGACACCUAUGGUGAUCAUCAUGCUACCCUUGUGAUCGUAGGGCGGGGGAAGACAACGUCAAGAGCAGAUCUAACGAUCAACACCUGGCAUGCAUUUUUACCCAGGUUCGGGCCGCUUAUGCGUAAAACCCUAUGUUAUGCUCGUCUGAUCGUAUUAAGCAUUUUUCGUUGUUUGUUACAGUCAUGAUAACCGUCUUCUUGGCCAAUCUCUAAAAAGUCCAACCCCUUGUGAAUGAGCUAAGGGCUGAUACAUCUCAAACGUAUCUAUAAUUUUUGAUGGUUUCACGUUGUUAUCUUGCCUUCUUUGUAUUUUUUAUGUACCUUUUUAUAUCUUUUUGGGACUAACUUAUUAAUUCAGUGCCAAGUGCCAGUUCCUGUUUUUUCCGUGUUUUUCACUCUUUUCAGAUCUGAUUAUGGAACGGAGUCCAAACGGAAGAAAAACCCCGAAAUGAUUUUUUUCCCGAACGGAAGAAGUCCAGGUGGCUUUUGGGCCAAGCCAGGUGGGCUCCAGGGAGCCCACAAACCCCCACUCUGCCACCAGGGGGGAGGCGGCGGUGGGCAGGCUUGUGGCCUCCCUGGCCGCCCCCUGAGCUAGGUGUUUGGCCUAUAAAUUCCCAAAUAUUCCGCAAAAAAUUAGGGGAGCUUCAAAAAUACUUUUUCACCGUCGCAAGCUUCCGUUUCCGCGAGAUCUCAUCUGGAGACCCUUCCUGGCACCCUGCCGGAGGGGACUUUGGAGUUGGAGGGCUUCUUCAUCAUCAUCAUUGCCCCUCCAAUGACUCGUGAGUAGUUCAGUUCAGACCUACGGGUCCGUAGUUAGUAGCUAGAUGGGUUCUUCUCUCUCUUGGAUCUUCAAUACAAAGUUCUCCAUGAUCUUCAUGGAGACCUAUCCGAUGUAAUCUUCUUUCGUGGUGUGUUUGUCGAGAUCCGAUGAAUUGUGGACUUGUGAUCAGAUUAUCUAUGAUUUAUAUUUGAGACUUUGCUGAUUUCUUAUAUGCAUGAUUUGAUAUCCUUGUAAGUCUCUCCGAGUCUUGGGUUUUGUUUGGCCAACUAGAUCUAUGAUUCUUGCAAUGGGAGAAGUGAUUGGUUUUGGGUUCUGCCAUGUGGUGACCUUUCCCAGUGACAGUAGGGGCACCAAGGCACACAUCAAGAAGUUGCCAUCAAGGGUAAAAAGAUGGGGUUUUUAUCAUUGGUUUGAUAUUAUCCCUCUACAUCAUGUCAUCUUUCUUAAGGCGUUACUCUGUUCUUAUGGACUUAAUACACUAGAUGCAUGCUGGAUAGCGGUCGACGAGUGGAGUAAUAGUAGUAGAUGCAGAAAGUAUCGGUCUACUUGUUUCGGACGUGAUCCCUAUAGAAAUAAUCAUUGCAUAGAUAUCGUCACGACUCUGCACAGUUCUAUCAAUUGCUAGACAGUAAUUUGUUCACCCUCCGUCUAUUUGCUUUCAUGAGAGAAGCCACUAGUAAACACUACGGCCCCCGGGUCUAUUCACAUCCAUCGUUUACAACUCCGCUUUUACUUUUCUUUGUUACUUUGUUGCUUUCAAUUCUCACUUGGCAAACAAUCUAUAAGGGAUUGACAACCCCUUCAUAGCGUUGGAUGCAAGCUAUUUGUGUUUGUGCAGGAUCUUGAGAUACUCUUCCGCCGGAUUGAUACCUUGGUUCUCAAACUGAGGGAAAUACUUAUCGUCGUUGUGCUACAUCACCCUUUCCGCUUCGAAGGAACACCAACGCAAGGCUCCAAGGCCACGGGGGAAAUCCUUUGCUACUUGCCUAGGAAGUCCCUUAAGGCGUAGAUGUAGCUGAAGGAUUCCUGGUGCCGUCGACACAACUAUUUCUGGCGCCGUUGCAAUGGAUACACAGCAAACAUCAAGGGCUUCCUUUUAUAAGCAAAGAGGUCACCUACAGUACUUGAUGGUAGGAUCACGAGAUGUUACAGUGAACCUAGAGCGGUGCUUAUCCAUCUACCGCUGUCAGGUGCAUUAAAUGCACGUCUUGUUCUUGUCAGCUAAGUGCUGUUGAAGACAUGUGUCCAGGUGUUUCGACACCUGGACGCCCUGCUGGCGCAUGUGGAAUGCGGGGGAGGUGGCACUGUGGCAAGGGCGGUCGCCCUUAGUGCCUUGCCAGGUCAUCUCGACAAGGGUGCUUGCCGGGGUCUUGGGUCUUCCUCCCGGUGAGGAAGAUUACCGGGGGGGCUUCGGCUGUCUUCCUGGUGAGGGAGGCUUGUCGGGGUCUUGUGCUUGGUGCGCUCAUCGCGUCCAUUAAACAGACAUGGCCUUGGAUGUCUUCCCGGCAAGGCAGGCUUGCCGGGGCCUUGGAUAUCUUGGGGGUGCGUCUUGUCUGGACUUUGCCACACCCUGCCGUCAGGGGCUCUUUGCGCCCGUGCACAAGUCUGGGGCACUAAAUACCCCAGUCUUUAGUGCACCGACAGGAGCUCCCGGGCCAGGGCCACACACAUGUGCGGAGCGUUGUUGGGCCAGCGCCAAAGAGGUGCACGAGCCUCUGUGGCUGGAUCUGUUCGCGGUUGCCUUUCCCCAUGCCGCGCAUCGGAUGCACAAAGUGGGAGAUCAUGCGCGGAGUGGCCUCUCCGCCUCCUGAAACGCCUCUGCCACGUGCGUGGCAUGCGCAGUCAUUGAUGGACAGGUGGCAGACGAGGCCUAAAAGGCGCAGUAGUGGUUGGGCCCACCCGUGCAUGCAUUGGCGCAUCGAGGCGGUUCUCUGUUCGCCCGUGAGCUCGAGCGAUUGGUCCUAGAGGGUGGUGGCUUCUGGAGUGAGGGAGGCUAGCCCCCGCGCCCUGUCCUAUAAAUUGGGAGGGUUUGCGAGGGGUUUUGCUCACUCAACUUCUCCUGGAUCCACCAACUCUUCAGCCUUGGUUCUUCGAAUCUUCGACUGUCUGCUGGUGGCACUUGCCCCUAACCAUGGUUAGGGGACGGGGUCGGCCACCGUCGGCCGUGAGGGCGGCGAGGGGAUCCCGUUCGGAUCAUGCCACAGCUUCUAAGGGUGCCGCGACGGAAGACGGACGGGACGCCCGUGGUGGAGGAAAGGCGAGGGGCCGAGGUCGCCACGGAGGUCAAGGCCGGGGGAGGCGGAGCGCUACUCCAACGUAUCCUCCUUCCCGGGGCUUGCUCCUGUGGCGGCCCUCCAUGUUGAUUUAGGGGCCCCACGUGUGCUUAUCGAUGGCUGCGAAGGGAGCCCGAGCGACGCCAAUUGUCCUGCCUCGAUCGCUAGCGACGAGGAGGACAGUGGCGGCGGCGAGGUUUGUGUUGGGUUAGCGCCAUGGGGCAUCAGACUGGAUGUGGACCCCCGGGCCCCAACUAGACGUAGAACGCCCCAUCAUGGUUGGCUCACGGCUCGCCCCCGCCCGACGGGGGCGGCUUGCCUUAGCUGGCGUUGGUGCCUCGUGUUUGAGGAGGAGGCACCUCCACCAGCUCUGACUUCUCCACGUCCCCUGCUUGGGGCACCUAACCGGAGCGGGUAUUGGUCCCCCGGCUCCGGGAGGAGGCGCGCCCACCGGUUCCGGAUCCUUCGCCCCUUCAUGUGCCCCGCCCUCUGCAUCUCGGCUGGAGGGGGGCCACGCCACGCCCGUGGGGCCGGUCUCGUUCUCGCUGGCUCAGGGCCGACCCUGGGCGGCCAGUUCUGACCGCGUCGUCGGCUCCGCGUUUUUAUCUUUUUGAACUUCACUCCUCCGCGCGGGUCGGUCCUCGUCAAAAGACACGRUCUUUAGGUUAGUACAACCACGCUUUGUAAGUGAAGCCAACUUUAUCCAUUCAUAUGAACAAAAAAGACUGUUUUUCCUUUUUUCGAUUCCGUUCUUUGUAUGAUUCAUUUUUGCAUAAUCUCGGAGCUUGCAGGAGACUACCGGCAAGGCUCCUUGAUGCGUUCGAUGCAACCAUGGAAAUCGCCAACCGCAGCUUGAGACAAAAUCGGGUGCUACGUAGCCGCUUGCUGAGUUGAUCAGGUUCGCAACUGUUUGAAGGCGCUCUGUGGCCAUUCAGGUCGUUUGAACGAGUUCGAAACAAAGACAAGGUUCACCGAACUUUCGGAAGGUCCUAGUACUCGCAAACUCCUCACACAAAGAUUGGAAACUUUUGAAGGGAAAAAGCAAAGGAUCUAUCUACUUCAAAUCUGAAUCUCGAACUUAAAAACUUAUCUGUCCAUGCCGUGAUUGUGAGGCACUUGAAUCUUUUGUCGGAGYCUUUGGAAAGCGGGAAAUCACCGCUCCUUGUGGUCUCUUCUCUGGCAAGGACUUCUCCCCGACGGUCCGUGACUGUCGCUUGGAGAAAGAGCCAGCUAGGGUGUAACCCCUUUGCUUUUCUCUGUUGGAUAGCUCUUGUCGUUGUGAAUUCAACAAGCUUKYKUUUGCUCGAUUCGGAGUUCGUAUGCAAGAGUUAGAGCAGUUUCAGUAUACAGAGGUAGCACCGCUCAUGGUGCGAGCGGUAGUACCGGUCCUGGAGCGGUAGUACCGCCCCUGAAGCGGUAGUAAUUUUUGACUACCGCUCCCGGGCGGUAGGACUACUCCCUUAGACGUUCUGGGAGCGGUAGUACCACUCCGAGCAGCGGUAGUACCGCUCCAGUCGGGCUGUGAGUGGGGGUAACGGUUGGAUUCGUUCCCCACUAUAUAGAGGAUGUCUUCUUCCCCAUUGGACCUUAUCUAUCCGUUGAGCUCGUAUUAUUCCCCCAUUGUUUACCUUCUUAGAGCUUCAAGAUAAAUAUGGUACAUACAAGAUUUAUGGGAAUGAUUGUUCUCCCUCCACCUCCGGUCGUGUGGUCUUCUCAACUUCAUCUACUUCACCUACACGUGGAUUGCCACAGGGUAAUGAUAUGGUGAGUAGUGGACAUCAUUGCAAUGAUGAUAGUGGGCUUAUUUUUGAUGAUCCUUAUCACUAUAAUAUUGCAAUGCUUCAUCUUUUGGCAUUAACACUUUGAGCACUCUAAAUAUUUUACAUGCCUGUGUUGAUAGUCCGUGCAUAUCAUGUAAAAACUUCUUGACUAAAUCUCAUGAUGAUAUGCUUUCUAUAUCUUGUUGCCAUGAUAAAAAUGUAUCUAUUUCCUCGAGUUGUUGUGCUAACAAGGUAGAGGAAAUCCAUCACUCUUCGGAACAAGAUGGGGCCUUAAAUAAUGCUUCAAGGGAGCCCACAUCAUCAUCUAUAGUUUGUCACUUUUGCCUUAUGGCUAAGGCUUCAAAGGUAUCUCCUACUUUGAAUCCCAAUAUAUCUCAUGAUGAUUAUGUUGAUGAUAAUAAGUAUGAGGAUAAAGAUGAAGAGAGUGAUGAUAUUCCAUCCUUAAAAAUUAAGGGUGAAAUGAUUUUUAAAUCUCUUUAUAAGAAUAAACUUGCUUGUUCCAACUUCAUGGAAAUCAUGUCUAUUACCAGUGAGGGCAAGAAAUAUAUUGAGGAGUUGGAAGAUCAUCUCGAGGAGCAUGAGGCCACCAUUCAGAGAAUGGAAGGUCAUGAGCGUGAUUAUGCUAAUGAGAUCGCGGAGCUAUCUCAAGCUUCUGAAAAUGAACAAACCACUAAAGAAUCUCUUGAGGAGACCUUUGCUCUAGAAUUAUCUAGAUUAAGGGAAUCUCAUGAUAGAGCUCUCGAGUUGGCUAAUGAUUCUAGAAAUAAAAAUGAUAAUCUUGAAGUUGCACAUUCUAAACUCCUUGAGGACUAUGAGCACCUUGAAAAUGGCUCAAGAGCUAUUAAGAGUUCGCUCAUCGAACUCACCGAGUCUCAUUCUCAACUUGAAGAGUCAUAUGCUAAAGGUCUUGCCAAGUUGCCUUCUCCUCUUAUUGUUAAUAAUUAUGCUUGUGCUAGUAACUCUAUUUCUUCUGAAGCAUCCAUUUUAAAGGAGAAUGUUGAGCUAAGGGCUCAACUUGAGUUGUUAUCUAGCAAUUAUGGGAAAUUGGAAGAAAGUCAUGUAAUGCUCACAAGCUCUCAUGAUGAUUUUCUAGUAUCCCAUAAUGUGCUUAAAUUAGCUCAUGAGGUUACUACUACCAAGGUAACAUCAAGUAAGCCUCAUGUGGACAUUAGCACUACUUCUAGUCAAAAUGCUAUAUUGCCAUGUGCUAGUCCUCAUAAUUCAUCUACUCAUAAUGUUGUUACAUCUUGUGAUGAAUUACUUUCCUUGCCUUGUUGCUAUAACAAUGAAGCUUAUACUUCCUCUAGUACUUGUGUUUAUACUAACCAUGUAGAGGAAAUCGAAGAGGUCAAGGCCCAAGUCACUUCAUUGAAGAGAGAUUUGGAAAAGUGUCAGGAUGGUAUGUACACACUCAACAAUGUCUUGUGUGGGAAAAAAUCCCCAAUUGACAAAGGUGGACUUGGAUUCAACUCUAAGAAGAAUAACAAGUCCAAAAGCUUCAAUAAGAAGGGCCAAGAACAAGUCAAGAAUUCUGCCAAGAUUGUUUGCUUCAAAUGCAAAAUUGAAGGGCACCAAGUUAGAUCUUGCCCAUUAAAGAAUAAGCCCCAAAGUCACAAGCAACAAGGGAAGCGCCAACAAGUUCAAUCACAUAUUCAACUUCAAGUUGAAGAAAAGUCUCUUCCCAAGAAGACCCAAGCCAACAUUCCUCAAGUUGAGAAAUCAUUUGGGAAGAAAGUAAAGGGUAGAUGUUGCUACUUAUGCCGCGAGAAGGGUCACUUUGCUUCUUCUUGCACGCGAGAUAAUUUAUCCAACCUAAUCAUUAUUGAUGAUAUCUAUUCUCUUGGGAAGGAUAAGAUUGGCAAUGUGUUUGCCAAGUUUGUUGGUACUCAAAGUGGUGUCAAGAAAAUAACCAUUUGUGUAGCCAAGCCUAUUGUGACAAACCUCUUAGGACCCAACAUGGUUGGGGACCAACAAGCUCAAACUUGAUCAAUAGGUGAUCAUGGAGGACAUUGGCGACUUGGUUUCAUCUUGAAGAAUUAAGGGACUUUCAUAAUUCAUAUUAUCUCAAGUCAAGUCAUUUGGAUUAUCGAGUUUCUUUCUUAUAUCCAAUGUGCCUCGUUACAGUAACUUGUACUUAAAUUGGUUACAUUGUUAGUUACUUUCCCCUUUGCAUAAUGUGGUCUUGUACCAUGCAUAUGUUUGUAUAUGUUGUGCUUCCAACUUGCUUAUCUUGAGUAAUCAAGUAUGUGUAUAUCGGUUUGCACACCAUGUACAUCUGAGUCUUGUAUUGAGCCUCUUUGCAUCAUGUUUGUAUCUUUGUUGGCUCUUUUGAGAGAUUAAUGGAUUAUCCCGUUGUGGGGAAAUGAUGUGCUCUGCGCACCUCACAAUCCGAUAAAUGUGCAUACAUGAGUAAUACCACUUAAUAUUAAUAUUACAAGUUUAUCUAGUCUCNNNNNNNNNNNNNNNNNNNNNNNNNNNNNNNNNNNNNNNNNNNNNNNNNNNNNNNNNNNNNNNNNNNNNNNNNNNNNNNNNNNNNNNNNNNNNNNNNNNNCAUGAUGCAUAUGUAGAUAGUUCUGAUGUAAGUCUUGCUGAGUACCUUUGUACUCACUGUUGCUUUAUUUAUGUUUUUGCAGAGAAGUUUUAGACUCAUUAUAAGGUUCUAAGCGAUGUGUUCGAUGUUGACCGGAAUAGCUUGGGAAUCCCAGACUGAGGUCUGGCUCCUUUGGUAGGGUUGUAGUAGCUUUUCAGGCUCUUCCAACCAUUUUUAGUAGAUGUCUGUACCGAGACAUGUUUUGCUUCCGCUUGUUGUUUGUAUGACUUGAGUGUCGGGUCACGGGACCCCUUUUUGUAAUAACACACUAUGUUGAUUAUGAUGAGUCCUUAAUAAAAGCUUGAGUCAUAGAGUUAUGUUGUGAUGCCAUGUUGUAUCUACACAUAUCGUGCAUAUUCUGUGUAUGUUAUGAAAUGCAUUAUAUGUGUGGGAUUCGACACCUAGUUGUGUGCCUCUAGUAGUACUCUUUAUAGGGAAAUGCCUAUUUGUGCUUCUAUCGAGCCUUGGUAGCUUGCUACUGCUCUAGACACAUUGAUUGACCGGCGUGUAUCCUUSUUUGCUGCUGUGUCUGUCCCCUCGGGGAAAUGUCACGCGGUGUAAUGGAGCCCUUGUAGCUUGCUACGACUCGUCUACACACGUUGUUGAUCGACACCUGCUUUGCUGGGUUAUGUAUGUCUGUCCCUGUACGGAUGUACCUCUUGGGUUUAUAACUAGUCAUGUCGACCCGGGUUCUUUGUCCUUUGAACGCUAGCAACAUAUUCAUAUACGUGAGCCAAAAGACACAAACGGUCCCGGCCAAGGUAAGGUGGCAGCCGUGGAGUUUGCCGUGCGUGAGGCCGCAAAGUGAUGUGAUGUGUUACAGGCUGGGUUCUUAUGACUCAGGAUCGGGGUCCCGACAAUGGAGUUGAGCACCAUGUUUAAGUAGAGAUUACAGCGGGGAAGAGAGGUGUUACACCGCUGCAAAGGAGGGGAGAGAGUUCGUGUUUACGGCGGCAUGAUUGUUGGUGUAGAUUGUCGUCACGAUGAUUCGCCCCGGUGAAACUCUUGCACCUGAGGAGAGAGGGGGAGAGACCCCCCCUACUUCUUAUUCUUCCUUGGCCUCCCCUAGAUCGUAGGAGAGUUCCCUCUCUAGUACAUGGCCUCCAUGGCGGCGGAGGGGCGGUAUCCCCUCCGAGAUUGGAUCUCCCUCUGUAUUCUCUUUUGUUUCGCGUUCCUCUCACGUCUCUGUUUUCUAGCCGAAACCGUUUCUUAUAUUCCCGGAGAUCCGUAACUCCGAUCGGGCUGAAAUUUUCAGGGGAUUUUUAUCCAAAAUUUUUAUUCUUUGCGCCCAAAGGAGAGCUCCAACUGACACACAUGGUGAGCACCACCCACCAGACCGCACGAAGGCCCCUGGGUGCGCCCUGGUGUCUUGUGCUCUCGAUGGGCCUCCGUUUGCGUUGCUUCCACUUCUCAAACUUCACAAAUAUUCCAAAAACAAAAUCUCCAUAAAUGUUUAUUGCGUUUGGACUUUGUUUGAUAUGGAAUUUUUGCGAUACAAAAAACACACAAAAAAUAGGAACUAGCACUAGGCACUGGAUAAAUAGGUUAAACCAAUAAAUCAUAUUAUUUGUUGCCAAAAGUUUGUGAAAGUUGUAUAAUAUUGACAUGAAACAAUCAAAAAUUAUAGAUACGACGGAGACGUAUCAGCAUCCCCAACCUUAAUUCCUACUCGUCCUCGAGUAGUUAAAUGAUAAAAAAGAUAAUUUUUGAUGUGGAAUGCUACCUAGCACAAUCUUGAUCAUAUGUCUAAUCAUGGCAUGAAUAUUAAGAUACAAGUGAUUCAAAGCAAUAGUCUAACAUUUGACAAGAAAACAUCCAUACUCAGGUUUACUAGCAAACAAUCAUGUCCUUUCAAAAUAACAAUGAUGAUAAAAGCUAUCCCUAAAAAAUCAUAUAGCCUAUCAUGCUUGGUCUUCCAAGCAUAAAGUAAAAUCAUGAGCACCACGGUGUCAAACCAAGCAAUUGGAUCGUGCUUUUUAACGCGCUUCAACCUUGUAUUACUCACUCAAUACAUGAGUGUGAACCAUGGAUAUAGCAUAAAGGUGGAAUAGAAUAUGGUGGUAAGUUUCAAAGGGGUAAAAGUGGAGCAGAAAGUCUCGCAUCAAUUCAGCGUAUCAACGGGCUAUGGAGAUGCCCAUCAAUAGAUAUCAAUGCAAGGAGUAGGGAUUGCCAUGCAAUGGAUGCACUAAGAGCUAUAAGUGUAUGAAAUCUCAAUAUGAAAACUAAGUGGGUGUGCAUCCAACUCUAUAAUGAAAAAUUCCCACUAGUAUAUGAAAGUGACAACAUAGGAGAAUCUCUAUAUGAAAAACAUGGUGCUACUUUGAAGAACAAGUGUGGAAUUGGCAUGCCCCUUCUCUCUUUGUCUCUCAUAAUUUUUUUGUGGUGCGCUCAUUUGGCCUCUCCCAUUUUUGUCCAGAGUCUCAUCCCGACUUAUGGGGGAGUCACUGAAUCCAUCAUCCAUUCCUCACUGGGACAUGCUCAAACAAUGAAUAAUGAUGACCACCACACUUUGAAAGUGCAUUAUAUCGACUAGAGGGGGGUGAAUAGGUGUUUUUUAGAAUUUCACCACUGAGGAAAUUCUUCCUGAGGAAAUUCCUCAAUGAAGAAUUAAGUGCAGCAGAAAUAGUGCAGGAUCAGCAGUGCAAAAACUACUAUGUCAGAUUACUUGGUGAAGAUUAUGAGAAUCGGUUUGCACAAUACACAAGUAAAGAGUAAGCAGGUGAAGAUUAUCUUAAGUGAAGAAUUUGAGGUUGAGGAAAUUCACAGAAAGUCUUCAAGUAAAUUCUUCAACAGUGCAUAUCAAAGUCUUCAACAUACAAUUUGAGGAAUUGAAAGAGUUGAAGAAAUAGAACCCGUAUAAUGAAGAAGACAGUUGUUGAUGAACCAGUUCCAACUGCUUUGACAGUUGUACGUCUGGUUUGGAGUGGCUUGGUAUUGAAACCAAAGGAUACACAGUCUGGGGACACACAAUCCCUACCAUAUUCUCCUUGAGCUAGGGACACACAAUCCUGCCCAACACUCGUGGUAAGUCUUUAGGGCAUACUUACAAACCCUCACAAACUUGGUCACCCGACGAUCCACAAUUCACUGUUGGAUGCUCUAGACCAUGACGCAUAACCGUCUGAAGGAUGCACAGUCCUCAAAGGUAAAAGGCUUUAGUUCCACACAGGAACAAAUUCUUCAGUGAUGCUCAAUCACUUGGUUUUUGGUCUGGGAUUUGGUGUUGGGGGUAUUUCCUCACUUGAUGAUUUUCUCUCGAAGAUUCUAAGGAAUUUGGGUUGCUCUAAAUGACAAGGUCAGUUUCUCGUGGAGCAGCCAACUAGCUAGAGGUUGUUGGGGGUCACUAUUUAUAGCCUGGGAGCAUCCCGACAUGAUUUGACAUAAAUGCCCUUAAAUAAUGUGACCGUUGGGUGGAGAAGAUUAGUGAGGUGGCGCGUUACGCGGCAACUGUCAGAACUUUCAACUGUGAAAGUCCUCAUGUCCCUCAUAUUCCUCACUUUGAGGCUUGGUAGGUUUCGGCUUGGGUUGAGCAUCAUGAGGAAAUUCAUUCUGUAGUAUUACCUCGACCCCCUUUAACACUACAGUGUUCCUAUGACUCAAGAGUAAAGAAAAUGAAACGGAAAGAGUAAAUCUGCACGCUUCAAAGUCUUCAGACAGUUUUUCUUCAGGACAUACCGGAUUCCGCAUUUUCAAUAUCUUCAUGAGGAAUAUCAAUUUCAUCGCAAUUUCUUCGCGAUGAAAGUCUUCAGCAUAAGACCAAUUUCUUCAGCAGAAGAUAUACUAUAUUAGGGGUCGAUAUUCGUCGUGUAACUCAAACUCCUCAGCGACUUAUAGAGCAUGUGUACACUCACAAACAUAUUAGUCUCUUAACCUAUAAGUCUUCAAACCAUCAAAAUCACUAAGGGCACAAGAUGCACUUACACACUUCUUUUUAUUUACAACUCAGUAUUACACUCGAUACCUAGAAGAAAGUAUGACUCUAUAUGAAUGUUGUGCAAUGAUCUAGGGUAGUAAAGAUAUCAAAAAAAGGAAACAUCAUGCUAGCUAUCUUACAAUCAUGUAACACAAUAUGACAAUCAAUGCUCAAGUCAUCAAAACGGAAGCGGUGGAAGUUGCAUGCCAAUAUAUCUCGGAGUGGGUAUGGAAAUGCCAUAAUAGGAACGUAUGCUGGCUGUUUUGAGGAAGAUAUAAUAAGGCUUAUGUGUGAUAGAGCAUAUUAUAUCACAGGGUUUGGAUGCACCGAUGAAGUUUGCGCCGACUCUCAAGGUGAUAAAGGGUAACGCGUGGUACCGUAGAGGCUAGCAAAUUGCGGAAUGGUAAGACUGCGUAUAAUCCAUGGAUUCACAUUAGUCACAGCGAACUCACAUACUUAUUGCCAGAUUUUAUUAGGCCUCUCGGAACAAAGCACUACUCGCAUGCCCCUCGGAAGAAGGUUGGGAGGAGUUAAAAAAAUUUUCCACUCCGAUUAUAACAACACAAAGGAUUUCAAUCAAGAAUAAGUUAUGCUCCAACUUCAUUGCAUAAUCAGAGACUAUACGUGCAUGCUUCGAGAAUCACAAACCUUAACAUCAAUAUUCUUACUAAUCCACAAUUAUCAACUAGCACACCCAUAUAUUACUAUGUUAAUGUCGCAAAACUAUCACAAGGAAUCAAAUAUAUCAUACUCAGUGAUCUACAAGUUUUAUGUAGGAUUUUAUGACUAACUAUGUAAAUGAUCAAUUCCUUCUGACUCUCUAAAUAGGUAUAAGUGAAGCAUGAGAGUUUAAUUCUUUCUACAAAAGACCAUUCUCUAAUAAAUUUAAGUGAAGAAAAAGAGCAUUCUUCAAUUAAUGGUUUUCUAUGGGAAGAGAAACAGGCAAUCCAAACUUCAAGUGAUAUAAGUGAAGCACAUGAAGGAUUCUAUAAAGCCAUACUCAAAAGAUCUGAGUGAAGUGCAAUGAGAAUUCUAUAAAUCAACCAUGAACUAUCUCAUACCAGCAUGGUGCAUAAAAUAAAAGGGAAGAUACAAAAGACGCUCCAAGAUUUACACAUAUCACAUGAAUGAAACGAAUCCGAAAACAUAGCAAUACUUGUUGAAGAAAGAUGGGAUGCCUUCUGGGGCAUCCCCAAGCUUAAAUGCUCGAGUCUCCUUGGAUAUUUACUUGGGGUGCCUUGGCAUCCCCACGUUUAAAUCUUGCCUCUCCUCCUUCUUCUCAUAUCGAGACCUCCUCGAUCUUCAAACACCAUUCAUAUUUUAUAUUUUCAUUAUCUCUGUUGUAUUAUAGCUUUUCCAUGGCUUAUACCACCGAUAAAAUCGAUACUUUCAUCAAAACAAGCAAAACAAUGCAUCAAAAACAAAAUCUGUUUUAAACAAGACAGUCUGUAGUAAUGUGAACUUUGGCCAUACUUAUGUAACUCGAACAAUUCUGAAAAAUUAGGCAACAUAACGAAUUUGUAUAACAAUACCGUGUUAAAAUUUCAGCUCAAUAUCACGCUCCAGUAAAAAAGUAAAUUGUGCAGUUGAGUGAAAGUUUGUGUUUNNNNNNNNNNNNNNNNNNNNNNNNNNNNNNNNNNNNNNNNNNNNNNNNNNNNNNNNNNNNNNNNNNNNNNNNNNNNNNNNNNNNNNNNNNNNNNNNNNNNGCAAGAUUUUGUGUUGCAAACCCCACAUUAUAUAUAUUUUUCCGGGGUAGAAAAAUCCCGUGGAUUUUUCUGUGCAAUUAGUUUUAGCUUUUGACGAAGUUAGUUCACGAGAUAUUUUACCGUGAUGCCCUUUGGUUUAAUUCGUAGGAUUUAUUCCGUGUCUCGUUAGGAUUAGUUGUCAACUAAAGAGUUGAUCUUGGAUGUUUUGUUUAGCCCCUGGUAUUUUUAGUUGCAAUAGAAAUGCAUGUUUAGGUGUUGUUUGACUGCCCUCAAGUUGCUUGAAUAGUGCUGUUUCAGAGGAGCUGAAAUAUUUCUAAGUCUGGAUUCUGUUAUUAUUUUGUUGCUAUCUUGUCUAGCUUGCAUAUUUAGAUCUGUAGCUCUUUUGAGGUUGGUCCAAUGGAGUUAGUUGUACCCCUUAUGUUUCUCUAGCAUGCUGUUAAGUUUCAUGUCAUUUGGAUACAUGUAGCUUAGGGUUUUGCUGCUGUCAAUAUAGCUUCAGGCUGAAAACUGCACUUUCAAGAGGUGUAAUUUUCACUAAGUCUGAAAUAGUGAAUGGGAUGCCUUUUGUGACUUCUUUCCCUAGUGAUCGAUGAUGCCAUGCUAGUUGUUGUUAGUUGUUCGUAGCAGUGCUUCUUGCCCUCUUCCGUGCCAUGCCUUGCUUGAGCAAAUCGGAGAUGUGAAGCCGAAGUUGUGAGACGUAGAAGUUGCUAUGUAGCUGUUUUGGGCAGUUUGUAGUGAUUUCUUGUUUUGCUCGUAGAUGUUGAACCGUAGCUCCGAUUUGAUCAUGUCCUACAUGAAACUUGCUUAGAAUCUCAUGUAGUUUCAUUUCCUCUUGCUGUUUGGUUGUGUUGAAGUGCUCGUAGCCGCCGUUGCACACAUUUUGCAUUCAUGCCAUCAUAUCUUGCGGUGCUUGUAUCUGUUGAACCGUAGCUCCGUUGGAGAUGUUCCUUAUGUGUAGAUUGCUUGCCUCACGUGAACCUAUUUGUUUUGCUGUUUAACAACCAAUUAAAUGCAUUAGUUCAGAUUUGGACAGAAUUGUAAAUUAACAUGUGAGGUCGUCUCGGAGGUGCUAUAUGACAUUUCCGACCUCAUUUAAAAUGCCUAGAUAAGUAGUUUAAUUUCCGCUUCACCUCUUGCCUGUUUGACAACAUUAAUAUUGCCGUGUAGAUAACCGGGAGUGAACUAAAUAAUUAACGUGGAGUCUCGUCAAUAUGCAACUCGUGCAUAUUGAACUUCACUUAAGGUGUAGUGUGUGAUUGUGUGAUUUGUCAUGCCGUGACUUGCAUGUAUUCAGUAGCUCAUGCAUCAUAUGUGUUGUGCAUCGUGUGGUGAAUAUCGUGUGUUGAUGCUUGUUUCCGGUUUCCCCGUCUCGUUAGAGUUCCGCAGCGUGCCGGAUUGUGAGGACCCGUUCGACUACGUCGGUUCGUCUGCUUCACGGAGGCAUUCUUCUUCCAAGCGGGAUCUCAGGCAAGAUGAUCAUUUCCCCAGAUACCAUUACUAUCAUUGCCAUGCUAGUUUUACCGCUUCUAUCGUUAUGUCUCGUUGCCUACCACCUGUUAAAUUCAGCCUCUCAACAAUGCCAUGAAAACAUUCCACCUGUUCAACCUAGCAAACCACUGAUUGGCUAUGUUACCGCUUGCUUAACCCUGUAGAUAGCGUUGCUAGUUGCAGGUGCAGUUGCUUCCAUGUGAAAACAUGGGUCCCUUGUCAUAUCACCAUAUUAAUACUAUUUAAUUUAAUGCACCUAUAUAUCUGGUAAAAGGUGGAAGGCUCGGCCUUUCUAGCCUGGUGUUUUGUUCCACCUUUGCCCCCUUAGUUUCGGUUACCGGUGUUAUGUUCCAUAAUUGAGCGCUCCUAACACGAUCGGGGUUGUUAUGGGGACCCCCUUGAUAAUUCGUUUUAGGUUAAAGUUGUUCUGGCAAGGCCCAACAUUGGUACUACAUUUGCCUAAUCACCUAAUAAAAUUGCAUAGGGACUUUCCGGACCCCGAGGAUAAUUUAAUCAACCCCCGGGCCAGUGCUCCUCAUGAGUGUUGGUCCAAAUUGGCAGACUACGGGGCCACCGCGGGGCAACCCGAGGUUUGGUACUCCUAGCGUGACCCAUCCGUCGUGUCCUGAGAACGAGGUACGCGACUCCUAUCGGGAUCGUCGACACGUUGGGCAGGCCUUGCUGGAUUAGUUUCACCUUUGACGAGAUAUCUUGUGCAUCGGGAUUCCGGUGAUGCUUUGGGUAAUCUCAGAGUUGAGGUUUUCCACUAGGGAAUCCGACGAGAUCGCGAGCUUCGUGAUUGAGGGUUUCUAUGCGGCUUGUGGUAAUUUGUGAUGGACUAGUUGGAGCACCCCUGCAGGGUUAAAUUUUUCGGAAAGCCGUGCCCGCGGUUAUGUGGCAACGUGGAAACUUUGUUUAACACUGGUUCUAGAUAACUUGAAGUUAAUUAAUUAAAACAUGCCUACUGUGUGCGUAACCGUGACUGUCUCGUUCGUGAGUUCUUUCUCCGAUCGAGGACACGGUGGGGUUAUGACUGACGUAGGUAGGUGUUCAGGAUCAUUCAUUUGGUCAUCUGUAGUUCACGUCCGCCAUGCGUAGUUCUUCCCCCUCUUUAUUCUGGUACUCGUAAGUUAGCCACCUCAUAUAUGCUUAGYCSCUGCUGCAACCUCACCACUUAACCWUACCUCACCCAUUAAGCUUUGCUAGUCGUGAUACCUUUGGAAAUGAGAUUGCUGAGUCCCCUGUGGCUCACAGAUUACUACGACCCCAGUUGCAGGUACAGGUAAAGGUUACUUGACGCGAGCGCGUUGAUUGUUCAUUUGGAGUUGCUUCUUCUUCUUCUUCUUCAUCGAUCUAGGAUGGGUUCCAGGCCGGCAGCCUGGGAUAGCAAGGAUGGACGUCGUUCUUCUUUUGUCGUUUGUUUUCGUCCAUAGUCGGACCCUGCUCUUACUCUUGUUGUUUACGUAAUGUACUGAUGUGACUCUGAUGUAGCUUGUGGCGAGUGUAAGCCAACCCUUUAUAUAUCUCAUCUUUUCAGUACAUGUACUUGUAACGAUAUCCAUUCUUGCGACACGACGAGAUGCGCUUCUAUCCCUGACGAGGCCUUCGUGCCAAAUUGAGGAUAGGGUCGCAUCUUGGGCGUGACANNNNNNNNNNNNNNNNNNNNNNNNNNNNNNNNNNNNNNNNNNNNNNNNNNNNNNNNNNNNNNNNNNNNNNNNNNNNNNNNNNNNNNNNNNNNNNNNNNNNGCAAAGAUAAACACCAAACAAGAACCAAAAAAUGUGAAGCAAGUAUGCAAAUGGUUUGAGCUCUUAACAAACGAUACGAUCAAGCUACUCACUUGAGAGCCCCCCUUGAAAGUACGAAAAUCUAUCCUAAAAUAGAAAACCUAUCAAGGUCAAACCUAUACCUUGCACCUAGUCCUCUUGAGCGAGAUGAUGAUGAUCUUGGCUUCCUCAAGAUGUACCACCUUUCUUGAUUACCUUGGUUUGACGAAGACUAGUUGAUUCCUCCCCCAUACUCACUAUGGGUGAGCCACUCUUCAACACAUCUUCACAAGUCAAUUGCCACCACAAUGGACGGCAAGCUUCAAGCAUGAUAUCUUCAUGAUGCUCCACUUGAACUUGCACACUGCAAUCUUGAUGACGAUCGCCACUUGAUGUCAUCCUUCAUAGGUUGAAUGAGAUCUUCCUCUGGACGCAAACCCAUGGAGACACACCUAACCCCACAAAGAAUUCUCACAAGGACCAUGGGUUAGUACACAAAAGCGUUAUGGACAAAUCUUACCAUACCAUGGGAUCACUUGAUCCCUCUUGGUACAUCUUGUACACUUUGUGUGUUGAUCAUCUUGAUUUACUCUUUGCUUAAUCUUGAUCAACUUUGUGUCUUUAUGACCAAUCGUUGGAUAAUACCUUGAAUACCGCCUUGGUCAUCAUAUAAACUCCUUGACACCAAUAGAUGGACUUCAAGAAGUGCCUGCAGACAAAUCCUUCGAAUAUAACUUAAGGCAACCAUUAGUCCAUAGGGAUUGUCAUCAAUUACCAAAACCACAUAUGGAUAAAUAUGCUCUAACACUUGUGUUUUUGGACUAACCCAUGUAGGUGAGAAGAGUAAGAAACAACAAGGAUUGCUCCGAAUCAAUAUAAUGUUCAUCAGCAAUGCCUCUCCCUCAUUGCAUAUAACAAGUAUCUAUUGUAUCAUAUUCAAUUUCCUAGGGACAAUCUUUCCGUUGCGUUACAAAAAGUGUGUGGCGUCACUACCGAGUUUAUUUACUAGCAAACUACUUCUAGUUUACUUCCCGCAAAGUAGUUUCAUACUAAUUCUAGGUGGAGCAAGCAUUAGCAUGCAUAGUGUUGUAUCGGUGGUCGAUAGAACUUGAGGGAAUAUUUAUUCUACCUUUAGCUCCUUGUUGGGUUUACCCUCUUACUUAUCGAAAAAGGCUACAAACGAUCCCCUACACUUUUGUGUUAUCAAGACGAUUUUUCUGGCACCGUUGCCGGGGAGCAAUACCAUGGGGAGAAUAUUCUCGUGUGUGCUUGUUUUCUUUAUCACUAAGUAGUUCUCAUUCCGUGCUCUUGUUUUCUAUCUCUAGUUAUGGGUAGGAAACAAAAUAUACAAAAACAAAUAGAUGUACUUGUUGCUCCAAAAGUUGAGGAACCAUCAGUGUUCCAUACUACCAAAGAAUAUUACUUCACUACAGGAAUCAGACUCUUUGCCGUGUGCCAUAACGGACGGCAAAGAGGUGAUCCACCGACGGCAAAGGUCUUUGCCGUCAGCCUCCUGUCGACAAAUUGCCUACGAGUAAUUUCGAUGGCAUAUCACCUUCUUUGCCGCCAGUCUGGCUUAAGAGGACGGCAAAGGUCUUUGCCGUCAGCCUCUGGCGCCGAGCCGACGACAAACAUGUUUAGACGGCAGCCGAGAGGCAACGCCUCUGUUAGGGCUAACAGAGGAUUUGCCAUCUGCCUCCCUCUCUAUCUUUGUCGUCUGCCUUCCUCCCAAUCUUUGUCGUCUGCCUCCCUCCCUAUCUUUGCCGUCUGCCUCCCUCCCAAGCUUGGAUCAUCUUCGAUCCACUUGUGCUCGUGUUGAAAACCCAACUAGCUUAGUUGUGGGAAUAUCAUUAAAUGAGCAUGCUCAUUAUGUGUGUCACCGCAUAUCUAGRAAAAAGGGAAACUCUUGUGGCAUCAAAUUAAUUUUUUGUGUUGCUAUGGUUGAAUUUAUGUGAAAUUUAUGAUUUUACUUGUUGUUCUAAAGAAACUAAAAAACACCUUCCCUACCAAUGUGUGUUUAAUGACAAUGAAAUAUUAUCUUCUUAUGCCAAGGAGGCCUAUUGUUAUUUUGAUGUUGACAAAAUUGAAGAAUUUGUUGCUUUUAAGGGUGCCUAUGAAAUUUCUUCUUUGAUUGAAAAGUAUGAUGCUACUCUUUACGAAUCUGAAAAUUCUGCAAUACUUAAAUAUUGCUAUGAAACUAUGCAUCCAAUACUUAUGUUAAAGAAUUUAUUGAAAGAAUGAUCACUUCCUUGGAAGAGAUUAAUAUUUUGAAGGAAUCUAUGGAAGAGGAAGUUGCUGAAAUUGUGAGCUCAUUAGACGAAAAAGAUGAGGAGGAGAGCGAAGAACAAAAGGAGGAAGAGCGGAUUAGCUACCCGUGCCCACCUUCUAAUGAGAGUAACUCUUCAACUCAUACAUUGUUUAAUUACCCUUCGUGCAUACCAAAGGAUGAAUGCUAUGCUAAUUGCUAUGAUCCCGUUGAUUCAUUUGAAAUAUCCCUUUUUGAUGAACUUGAUGCUUGCUAUGCUUGUGGCCAUGAUGCCAACAUGAAUUAUGCUUAUGAAGACGAACUUGCUAUAGUUCCUUAUGUUAAGCAUGAAAUUGUUUCUAUUGCACCCACUCAUGAUAGGCCUAUUAUCUUUUUGAAUUCUCCUAACUAUAAUAUAUUCGAGAAGUUUGCGCAUAUUAAGGAUUAUAUUGAUGGGUUGCAUUUUCCUAUUGCACAUGAUGAUUUUGGGGAAUAGGAUAUGCAUGUGUUUGGUGCUCCUACUUGCAAUUAUUAUGAGAGAGGAACUACAUCUCUACCUCUAUAUGUUUCCAAUAUGAUAAACUUGCAAGAAACUACUUAUGCUAUGUAUUGGCCUUUACUAUUGUUCUUUUAUUACAUGUCGAUGCAUAUGAAGAGAGUUAGACUUUGUUAUUGCAUGAUAUAUAUCAUUUGUGCUCACUACUAAAUGCCAAGUGAUUGCUAGUUAAAAUUGGCUUUGAUAUACCUAGGGAUCUGGGUGGAUCCAUUACUUGAGCACUUUAUGCCUAUCUUAAUGUCUUUAAAGAAAGCGCUGCGAGAUUGACAACCUGGAUGUUUUAGAGAGUCAUUUAUUCUGUUGUGUUCUUUUGUAAAAUAUUGUGACUGGAUUUUCCUUUAGGAUGAUCCAUAAGAUGAGUAGAAACAAUGCUGAAUCUGAAACAGAAACUUUGACUCCGGUGCACGAAUUUACAUUUUUUACUAGAGCAUGAUAUUGGGCUGAAAUUUUAACACAAUAUUGUUAUACAAAUUCUUUAUGUUGCCUAACUUUUCAGUAUUGUUGGAGUUACAGAAGUUUCAUCAAAGUUCACAUUACUACAAACUGUCUUGUUUAAAACAGAUUCUAUUUUUGAUGCAUUAUUUUGCUUGUUUUGAUGAAACAAUCAAUUUUAUCGGUGGUAUCAACUAUGGAAAAUCUAUAAUACAACAGAGAUAAUAAAAAUAUAAAAUAUAAAUGGGUUUAAAACAAUAUUUAAAUUAGUGGUUUUCUUUAUUAUACUAACGGAUCGUACCAGUCUUCUAUUAAGUUUUGUGUGUAUGAAGUGUUCGAAGAUCGAGGAGGUCUCGAUAUGAGGAGAAGGAGGAGAGGCAAGAGUUCAACUUGGGGAUGCCAAGGCACCCCAAGUAAAUAUCCAAGGAGACUCGAGCAUUUAUGCUUGGGGAUGCCCCGGAAGGCAUUCCAUCUUUCUUCAACAAGUACCGCUAUGUUUUCGGAUUCGUUUCGUUCAUGUGAUAUGUGUAAAUCUUGUAGCAUAUUUUGUAUCUUCCCUUUUAUUUUAUGCACCAUGCUGGUAUGAGAUAGUCCAUGGUUGAUUUAUAGAAUGCUCAUUGCACUUCACUUAGAUCUUUUGAGUAUGGCUUUAUAGAAUUCUUCAUGUGCUUCACUUAUAUCCGUUGAAGUUUGGAUUGCCUGUUUCUCUUCCCAUAGAAAACCGUUAUUUGAAGAAUGCUAUUUUGCUUCACUUGUAUUUAUUAGAGAAUGGUCUUUUGUAGAAAGAAUUAAACUCUCAUGCUUCACUUAUACCUAUUUAGAGAGUCAAAAGGAAUUGGUUAUUUACAUGGUUAGUCAUAAAAUCCUAUAUAAAACUUGUAGAUCACUGAGUAUGAUAUGUUUGAUUCAUUGCAAUAGUUUUAUGACAUUAAGAUAGUAAUAUGGGGGUGCACUAGUUGAUAAUGGUAGAUUACUAAGAAUAUUGAUGUUAAGGUUUGUGAUUCCCGAAGCAUGCACAUAUAGUCUCUCCUUAUGCGAUGAACUUGGAGCAUAACUUAUUCUUGAUUGAAAUCCUUUCUGUUGUUAUAAUCGGAGCCGCACAAUUGUUAACUCCUCCCAACCUUCUCAUGAGGGGCAUGCGAGUAGUGCUUUGCUUCGAUAGGGCUAAUAAAAUCUUGCAAUAAGUAUGUGAGUUCGUUGUGACUAAUGUGAAUCCAUGGAUUAUACGCACUCUUACCUUUCCGCAAUUUAAUAGCCUCUACGGUACCACGCAUUGCCCUCUCUCACCUUGAGAGUCGGUGCAAACUUCGCCCGUGCAUCCAAACCCUGUGAUAUGAUACGCUCUAUCACAGAUAAGCCUUACUAUAUCUUUCUCAAAACAGCCACCAUACCUACCUAUUAUGUCAUUUCCAUAGCCAUUCCGAGCUAUAUUGCCAUGCAACUUCCACUGCUCCCGUUUUGAUGCCUUGAGCAUUGAUUGCCAUAUUGCUUUACAUGAUUGUAAGAUAGCUAGCUUGAUGUUUCCAUUUUUUGAUAUCUUUACUAUGCUAGAUCAUUGCACAUCAUUCAUAUAGAGUCAUACUUUGUUCUAGGUAUCACAUGUAAUAUUGAGUUGUAAGUAAAUAGAAGAUUGACGAUCAUCAUUAUUCAAUAUUAGGGCAUGUCCCAGUGAGGAAAGGGUAAUGGAGACUAUGAUUCCCCCACAAGUCGGGAUGAGACUCUGUAAAAAAAAUGGGAGAGGGCAAAUGAGCGCACCACAAUAAAAAUGAUGAGAGACAAAGAGAGAAGGGGCAUGCCAAUUCCACAGUUGUGCUUCAAAGCAACACCAUGUUUUUUAUAUAGAGAUUCUCCUAUGUUGUCACUUUCAUAUACUAGUGGGAAUUUUUCAUUAUAGAGUUGGAUGCACACCCACUUAGUUUUCAUAUUGAGAUUUCAUACACUUAUAGCUCUUAGUGCAUCCAUUGCAUGGGAAUCCCUGCUCCUCGCAUUGAUAUCUAUUAAUGGGCAUCUCCAUAGCCUGUUGAUACGCUGAAUUGAUGUGAGACUUUCUGCUCCACUUUUACCCCUUUGAAACUUACCACCAUAUUCCAUUCCACCUUUAUGCUAUAUUCAUGGUUCACGCUCAUGUAUUGAGUGAGUAAUAAAAGGCUGAAGCGCGUUAAAAAGUACGAUCCAAUUGCUUGAUUUGACACCGUGGUGCUCAUGAUUUAUACUUUAUGCUUGGAAUAACAAGCAUGAUAUGCUAUAUGAUUUUGUAGGGAUAGCUUUUUUUAGCAUUCUUAUUUCGUAAGGAUAUGAUUGUUUGCUAGUAAACCUGAGUAUGGAUGUUUCUUGUAAAAUGUUAGACUAUUGCUUUGAGUCACUUGUAUCUUAAUAUUCAUGCCAUGAUUAGACAUAUGAUCAAGAUUGUGCUAGGUAGCAUUCCACAUCAAAAAUUAUCUUUUUUAUCAUUUACCUACUCGAGGACGAGUUGGAAUUAAGGUUGGGGAUGCUGAUACGUCUCCGUCGUAUCUAUAAAUUUUGAUUGUUUCGUGCCAAUAUUAUACAACUUUCACAUACUUUGGGCAACAAUUUAUAUGAUUUAUUGGGCUAACCUAUUGUUCAAGUGCCUAGUGCCAGUUCCUAUUUUUUGUGUGUUUUUUGUAUCGUAGAAAUUCCAUAUCAAACAAAGUCCAAACAUGAGAAAAAUUUACGGAGAUUAUUUUUGGAAUAUUUGUGAAUUAUGAGAACUGGAAGCAACGCAAACGGAGGCCCACAAAGAAAACAAGACACCUGGGCGCACCCAGGGGCCCAGGUGCGGCCUGGUGGGUGGUGCUCACCUUGUAUGUCGGUUGGGGUUCUCCUUCGGGCACAAAGAAGAAAAUUUUUGGAUAAAAAUCCCCUAUAAAUUUCAGCCCCAUCGGAGUUAGGGUUCUCCGGGAAUAUAAGAAACGGUUUCAGCCAUAAAACAGAGAUGGGAGAGGAACGCGAAACAAAAGAGAAUAGAGAGGGAGAUCCAAUCUCGGAGGGGCUCCUGUCCCUCCUCCGCCAUGGAGGCCAUGUACCAGAGAGGGAACUCUCCUCCCAUCUAGGGGGAGGCCAAGGAAGAAUAAGAAGUAGGGGGCUCUCUCCCCCUCUCUCCCUGUGGCGCGAGAGUGUCGCCGGGGCGAAUCAACGUGACAUCGAUCUACACCAACAAUCGUGACGCUGUCAACACCAACUCUCUCCCCCUCUUUGCAAAGGUAUAACACCUCUCUUCCCCACUGUAAUCUCUAGUUAAACAUGGUGUUGAACUCCAUAUAUUAUUUCACAAUGAUAUUUAGCUAUCCGAUGAUGUUUGAGUUGAUCCAUUUUGUCCUAUGGGUUAAUUGUGGUAUGAUGUUAUUGAUAUGAUUUGUAUGUUGAUAUGGUGUUGUCCUAUGGUUCCCUCUGUGUCGCGCAAUAUGUCCAUCAUUUGCUUAUGGUGGGUUACUUGAGUCACAGAAGCAUAAACCCGAGUAACUGGGUUAUGGCGCAUGGGAGUAAAGAGGACUUGAUAUUUAAUGCUAUGGUUGGAUUUCAUGACCUUAAUGAUCUUUAGUAGUUGCGGAUGCUUGCUAGUGUUCCAAUCAUAAGUGCAUAUGAUCCAAGUUGAGAAAGUACGUUAGCUCAUGCCUCUUCCUCAUUGCAUAUAACAAGUAUCUAUCGUAUCAUAUUCAGUUGCAUAGGGACAAUCUUUCCAUUGCGUUACAAAAAGCUUGCUGCAUAGGAUCCGUUCGACUACGUCAGUUCGUCUGCUUCACAAAGUUGUUCUUCUUCCAAGCGGGAUCUCAAGAAAGAUGAACAUUUCCCUAGAUACAUUACUAUCAUUGCGAUGCUAGAUAUUUCGUUUCUAUCGUUAUGUCUCGCUGCCUACCACUUGUUAAAUGUCAGCCUCCCAACAUUGCCAUGAAAAACCUUUAAUCUUUACACAACCUAGCAAAUCAUUGGCUAUGUUAUCGCUUGCUCAGCCUUUUGGAUAGCAUUGCUAGUUGCAGGUGUAGUUUCUUCCAUGUUAUAACUUGGGUUGCUUGUUAUAUCACCAUAUUAUGCUAAUUAAUUGUGACAGCCCGAUGCUGACGCCUCAGAAGAUUCGCCUUUAUUUUCGUUUCCAUCGUAUGAUUAUUUUAUUUGUUGCAUCAUCAUCGCAUCAUGCAUGUCAUCACUUCUCUUGCAUUCUUGUCUUGGUGUCUAGUUGCACCUUGGUGCAUGUGAGUGUGAGUGUGAGUGCUUUGUGAGUGUGCCUUUGUGUUUGUUGUGUUUGUUCUUCUCAAAACCCAUUGUUGCACCAAAGCUCCAAAAACCCCUUCUUCCAAUUUAUUUAGUGGCUGAGUUUAAAGUCUCUAUUUGGGGCCUAAUAAAAUGUUCCUCCUCUUUUAAAAAAACAUUCUUAUUAUUUUUGGGACAACACUCUAGUUUUUUACUUUGUUUUCUCCUUUUGCCUUAUAUCAAAUCCCAACCCCAUUUUAUAUAAAAGGUUUUAUUUUUAUUCUUAAAAUAAAACCCGAUCUAUUUUUAUAAAUUGGUGCAUAUUUUAAGGAGCCCAAAAGUAUUUUUUUAUUUUUUUAUUUCGUUUUCUUUUGCCUCUGGCAUUAUUUUAAAAUCAGCUUUUUUCGCGUAUCCUUUUUUUAGAAAGGAGAUAUCUGCCCAAGGCCCAGCCGGCCACUUGGGCCUCUAGGCCGGCCCACCUACCCCCGCUAGCCUAGCGACGGGAGCAACUCUGCCCGAGACCCCAUCUACCCGUCGCCCUGCCGAUCCCCUCCUCCUCCCUGUUCCCUUCUCGCGCCGCCUCGCCCUAUGCCUCGCCAUGGUUGCCACCCCCGAGCCGCCGCAGCUGCUCCCCCGCGUGCUCGCUGUGCGCCCCUCGCUCUCCAUGCUGCGCCGCCCCGAGCCGCCCUCUCCCCACGCCACCCGUCUUGCUCCCCUCGGCCUCGGCCCUCUCGAGCUCAUGCAGCCGCCGCCAUGGCCGGCCACCGCCUGCGCAAGGAGGGGCCCCCUGCCGGAUGUCACCGGAGGUCCCCCGCGCCGCCGACUCGAUCUCCUCGGCCCCGGUGCCGGCGAGUAGCCCGUCCGUAGGAAUGGAGAGCCUCGUUCCCGAUCUCCUCCUCUGCCUCGCUGCUCACCUCCGCCGGCGCCUCCCCGCUGUGGUGUCUUCCGCGUGCCGCGCCCGCUUGCUGCUGGCGUUGCUGUGUUGCCUGAUGCGAGUGCUGUUGGUGCUGAUGCAUGUUGCUGCCCAUGCCGCUGUUGUUGUCCUUGCUUUUGCUGGUUGCUGUGCCGAANNNNNNNNNNNNNNNNNNNNNNNNNNNNNNNNNNNNNNNNNNNNNNNNNNNNNNNNNNNNNNNNNNNNNNNNNNNNNNNNNNNNNNNNNNNNNNNNNNNNGGUACUGUUGUGAACUCAUUGUUUAUUUAUAUUUAUGUAAUAUUUACUGUAUUUUAACCUCUCCAUGGUUCAUACCCCCUGAUACAACCCAUAGAAUCAUAAAAAUAAGCAAACAAGGAAAAUAAAAUAGAAUCUGUAAAAAACAGAACAGUGUGUAGCAAUCUGUUCACUUUGAAUACUUAUGUAACUCCAAUAAUUCUGAAACAUUAGGAAGAUCUGGGAAAUUUAUAAACCAAUCUUGUGUAAUAUAUUCAUAUCAAAAUCAUGUUCCAGCGAAUUUAUAAAAUCCCUGUAGCGAGAGUGAAUGUUUCUAUUUUUUAGCAAAAUCAAUUGGCAAACACCAUAGACCAUCCCAAAGGUCUUACUUGGCUCAAACACUAAUUAAAACAAAACAAAAAUAUUACAGAUGUAAUAAUGUGUUCCUCACUAAAAAACAGAAAAAAAACAAAAGCAAAAGAAAUAAAAUUGGGUUGCCUCCCAACAAGCGCUAUUGUUUAACGCCCCUAGCUAGGCAUAAUGCAAAGGAUCUAGGUAUUGUCAUCUUUGGUAUGCAAUGCAUAGGUUACUCUCAUAAUAGAUUCGUAAGGUAAUCUUAUAUUAUUGCUAGGAAAUUGCUCCAUGCCUUUCCUUAAUGGAAAUUGGAAUGGAAUAUUACCUUCCUUCAUAUCAAUAAUAGCACCAAUUGUUCUAUGGAAAGGUCUACCAAGAAUAAUAGGACAUGUAGGAUUGCAAUCUAUAUCAAGAACAAUGAAAUCUACGGGCACAUAAUUCCUAUUUGCAACAAUAAGAACAUCAUUAAUCCUUCUCGCAUGUUUCUUAAUGGUGGAAGCCGCUAGGUGCAAAUUUAAAGAGCAAUCAUCAAAUUCAUGAAAUCCUAGCACAUCACAUAAAGUUUUUGGAAUCAUGAAAAUGUUAGCACCCAAAUCACACAAAGCAUGGAACUCAUAAUCUUUAAUUUUAAUUUUAAUAGUAGGUUCCCACUCACCAUAAAGGUUUCUAGGUAUAGAAACUUCCAACUCAAGUUUUUCUUCAAAAGAUUUCAUCAUGGCAUCCACAAUAUGUUUAAUAAAAGCUUUAUUUUGACUAUAAGCAUGCAGAGAAUUCAACAUCGAUUGUAACAAGGAAACACAAUCAAUCAAAGAGAAACUAUCAUAAUUAAAUUCCUUGAAAUCUGAAAUAGUGGGCUCAUUGCUAUUUAAAGUUUUGACCUCUUCCAUCCCACUUUUAUCAAUCUUAUCAUUAAGAUCUAAAAACUCCGAAUCAUUGGGAUGCCUUUUAACUAUAGUUGACUCAUCUGCAGUCUCAUAUUUUUCAAUAUUUAUACUAGAAAACAUAGAUUCAAUAUGUGUCACACCAAUCACUUUAAGAUCUUCAUUAUUAUUAUCACGAGAAAACACCUUUUCAAGCCAUUCACGCUUAACACGUAUUCUAGCGGUUGUUUACUUACACUCAUCAAUAGAAAUUCUCAUAGCUUUCAAAGACUCAUUAAUAUCAUGCUUGGGUGGAAUAGAUCUAAUUUUCAAAGAAUCCAUCUCAAGAGAAAUUCUAUCAACGUUUCUAGCCAAAUCAUCAAUCUUGAGCAAUUUUUCUUCAAUCAUAGCAUUGAAACCCUUUUGUGAGCUAAUGAAUUCUUUAAUAUUAUUAUCAAGAUCAGAGGGCAUCUUAUUAUAAUUUCCAUAAGAAUUGUUGUAGGAAUUACCAUAACUAUUAGAGGGAUUAAUCGGAAACGACCUAGGUUUGAAAUUACCUCCAUACACGUUAUUGCCAAAAUUGUUCCUACCAACAAAAUUCAGAUCCAUAGAUUCAUUAUUAUUUCCAAUCAAAGAAGACAAAGGCAUAUAUUUGGGAUCAAUAGGAGCACUCUUACUAGCAAAAAAUUCCAUUAAUUCAUCCAUCUUUCCACUCAAAGUAUUUAUUUAUUCCAUAACAUGCACUUUUUUACUAGUAGGAGAUCUUUCGGUAUGCCAUUGAGAGUAAUUUUCCAUAAUACUAUCUAGGAGUUUAGUAGCUUCUCCUAACGUGAUUUCCAUAAAAGUACCACCCGCGGUGGAAUCUAAAAGAUUUCUAGAAGGAAAAUUCACCCCCACAUAAAAAAUCUCUAUAAUCAUCCAUAAACUCAAACCAUGUGCGGGGCAAUUCCUAAUCAUUAGUUUCAUCCUCUCCCAAGAUUGUGCAACAUGCUCAUGAUCAAGUUGCUUAAAAUUCAGUAUAUCAUUCCUAAGGGAGAUAAUCUUAGCGGGCCGAAAGUACAUGGAAAUAAAAGCAUCUUUACACUUAUUCCAUGAAACAAUACUAUUUUUAGGUAUAGAUGAAAACCAAGUUUUCGCACGAUCUCGUGCUAAGAAAUUAAAUAGAUUUAAUUUAACAAUUUCAUUAUCCACAUCUUUCUUCUUUUGCAUAUCACACAACUCAAUGAAAGUAUUUAGAUGGGAUGCGACAUCUUCACUAGGAAGGCCAAGAAAUUGUUCUUUCAUAACAAUAUUGAGCAAAGUGGCAUUAAUUUCACAAGAUUCCGCACUAGUGGCGGUAGCAAUCGGAGUACUAAUAAAACCAUUAUUAUUAGUAGUGGAAAAAUCACAUAACUUGGUAUUCUCUUGAGCCAUCGUGAGAAAGCAAGCAAUCUAGCACACAAUCAAGCAAACAAAAAGAUAAACGGAAAAAGGCAAAUCUUUUUGGUAUUUUCUGAAAAUAUUUUCACAAGUGGUGGACAGGAAAACGAGACGCAUAUGGCAAAUAAAGUAAAUGCAAGAGAUGAGUUUGUGAUGGGUACUUGGUAGGCGUGAUCUUGCCAUGUAUCCUACCCGGCAACGGCGCUAAAAAUCCUUCUUGAUACCUCUUGAGCUUGCGUUGGUUUUCCCUUGAAGAGGAAAGGGUGAUGCAACGAAGUAGAUAAGUAUUUCCCUCAGUUUGUUGAGAACCAAGGUAUCAAUCCAGUAGGAGGAACAAGCAAGGCCCCAAUAGUAGUUCGUACACAAAUAAUCAAACACUUGCACCCAACGCUAUAAAGGGUGUGUCAAUCCCUUCAGAGUUAUUUGCAAGGAUGAGAUCUGAUAGAGAUAGAUAUAAAAGAUUGCGGAAACAAAAGUAAAUAAAUUGCAGAAAAGUAUGUUUGGUAUUUUUGGUUUAUAGAUCUCAAAAUAUAAUAUGGAAAAUAGACCCGGGGGCCAUAGGUUUCACUAGAGGCUUCUCUCAUAAAGGAAAAUAAUAGAUGGGUGAACAAAUUACUGUCGAGCAAUUGAUAGAAAAGCAAAUAAUUAUGAAGAUAUCUAAGACAAUAAUUAUGCAUAUAGGUAUCACGUCCGUGUCAAGUAGAUCGAAACGAUUCGCAUCUAGUACUAUUACUCUACACAUCGACCGACUCCUGCCUGCAUCUAGAGUAUUAAGUUCGUGAAGAACAAAGUAAUGCAUUAAGUAAGAUGCAAUGAUGUAGUGGGAUAAACUCACACAAUAUGAUGAAAACCCCAUCUUUUUUAUCCUCGAUGGCAACAACACAAUACGUGCCUCGUUACCCCUACUUUGUCACUGGGUGAGGACACCGCAAGACUGAACCUAAAACUAAGCACUUCUCCCAUUGCAAGAAAUACCAAUCUAGUUGGCCAAACCAAACCAGUAAUUCGAAGAGACUUGCAAAGAUAUGAAAUCAUGCAUAUUAGAAUUCAGAAGAGACUCAAAUAAUAUUUAUAGAUAAUCUGAACAUAAACUCACAAUUCAUCGGGUCUUGACAAACACACCACAAAAGAGUAUUACAUCGGAUAGAUGUCCAUUAAGAUCAUGAAGAACAUGGUAUUAAAGAUCGAAGAGAGAGAAGAAGCCAUCUAGCUACUAGCUAUGGACCCGUAGGUCCAUGGUGAACUACUCACACAUCAUUGGAGGGGCAAUGGAGUUGAUGUAGAUGCCCUCCGUGAUCAAUUCCAUCUCCGGCAGAUUAACGGAAAAGGCUCCCAGAUUGGAUCUCUCGGGAACAAAGGCUCCUGGCGGCGUAAAAGUAUUUUCGUGGCUCUUUUUGGCAAUACGGGAAUAUUUGGGAAUUUAUAGGCCAAGAAAUAGGGUUUGGAGAAGUAGAGGGGCUCACAAGCCAGGGGCGCGCCCUGCAGGCUUGUGGCCUCCCGGCAAGUGCCUUGCCCCCUAUUCCAAUUCUCCUCGGUGUCUUGUGGUCCAAGAACAAUCUUUCCAGAGAUUUUGUUCCGUUUGGACUCCGUUUAAUAUUCCUUAUCAACAAUACUCAAAAACGUGGAAAAAACAGAAACUGGCACAAGGCUCUAGAUUAAUAGGUUAGUCCAAAAAAUAAUAUAAAACAUCAUACUAAUGCAUAUAAAACAUCCAAAACAGAUAAUAUAAUAGUAUGGAACAAUAAAAAAUUAUAGAUACAUUAUAGAUGUAUGAGGGGCCUCGGCACCUCCUCCACCGCAUCUCAGCUGUAUAAAUACCCCAAUAUUAUAAAAGCCUAGAGGAGCCAACGAAAAAUAAUUUCAGCCGUCGCAAGUUCCAGAAGCCAUGAGAUCCAAUCUAGAGCCCGUUCGGGCGCCCUGCUCGAGGGAAACACUGUAUCAGAGGGAUUCAUCAUCUUUAUUGGUGCUCCUCCAAUGAUGCGUGAGUAGUUCAUAUCAGACCUACGAGUCCGUAGGCAGUAGCUAGAUGGCUUUAUCUCUCGUUUUUCUCUCAAUACAAUGGUCUCUUGGAGAUCUAUUUGAUGUAACUCUUUCUUUUGCGGUGUGUUUAUUGGGAUCCGAUGAACUAUGAGUUUAUGAUCAGGUCUAUGAAAUUAUAUCCAUGCUUGAUUAUUAUAGCCCCGUAUUUCUUCUUCGAUAUUUAGGUUUUGUUUGGACAACUUGAUCUUUUUAUGUUGUAAUGGGAAGAGGUACUUUGUGAUUGGUUCGAUCUUAUGAUGCUUAAUCUCAAUGACAGAAAGAGACAUGACACGCAUGUAUCGUUUCUAUUAAGGGUAAAACGAUUGGGACUAUUCCUACAUGUAUAGAUCUUGUCUACAUCAUGACAUCAUUCUUAAAGCAUUACUCUAUUGCUCCAUGAACUUAAUACACUAGAUGCAUGCUGGAUAUCGGUUGAUGUGUGGAGUAAUAGUAGUAGAUGCAGGAAGGAGUCAGUCUACUUGUCUUGCACAUGAUGCCUAUAUACCCGAUCAUUGUCUUAGAUAUUGUCAUAAUUAUUCGCUCUUCUAUCAAUUUCCCAACAGUAAUUUAUCUACCCACCAUUUGCUAUUUUCUCGAGAGAAGCCACUAGUGAAUCUUAUGGCCCCCGGGUCUAUUUUACAUCAUCUAUUUGCAAGAUCUAUUUUGCUAUCCGCAUUUCCAAUAUAUUUGCUAUUUUAUAUUCAGAUCUAUUUUUCUAUUUGUGUUUCCAAUUUAUUGACCAUUACAUUACUUGCAUCUAUCAAUCUAUCUUUUUACCGUUUUUUUACCCAUGAGGGAUUGCCAACCCCUACACGCGUUGGGUUGCGAGGAUUUGUUAUUUGUGUGCAGGUAUUACUUACAUAGUCUUGUGGGUCUUCCUAGUGGAUUGAUACCUUGGUUUCAUAACUGAGGGAAUACUUGUGUCGCUGUGCGAUAUUACCCUUUAAGCUUGGAGGGAAACCAUCGCAAUCAGUGAGGGGUCAUUAACCUAGUUCCUAGCAAUUUUCUAUCAAUGUAGAUUAUCCUAUAUUUGUAGGAUCCGAAGUAUGUCUAGAGGGGGGUGAUUAGACUACCUAACCAAAUUAAAAACGUAGCCUUUUCCCAAUUUUAGUUGUGGGACAUUUUUAGCAAUUAUGACUAGUCAAGUUCACCCUACACAUGCAUAUAUAAGUUUAUAGCACCAGAAAGUAAAUAAAUGCAAACGUAACGGUCUACACGAUGAUUUGGCAUGGGUUGGAGAGAUUGAUUUGGUGGAAAGCAACUUGGGGAGGCUAGAGAUCAAGUUUCAAAUGGAUGGAUUGGAAUCUCUUGAUCUCAACACAUGAGUUGGUGGCUCUCUCUCAGGAAAAUGAAUAUGGCAAGUGUGUGUAUGCGUGUUCUGAGUGCUUCCUCUUCGAAUGAGAGGUGGUUGAAAGGACGUUGAUGUCGCCUAGGGUGGUGAAUAGGAGCUUUAAGAUAAUUACAAUUUAGGCUUGAACAAAUACAGAAUAAAACUAACGAUUAAGAGCGGUCACCGAACUCAUACAAACAAGGUUGUGAUUCCACUAAGGCCACUUUAAUAUCCUCAUGCCCUCGCAAAAUGCAAGAUGCCGUGAUUCCACUAAGGGCCCAUUGAGAGCGGUCACCGAACCCGUACAAACAAGGUUGGGGCAAUCUCCACGACUUAAUUGUAGGCUUCCAACAACACCAUGAAGCUGUACCACAAUGGAAUAUGGCUUCAAGGUAACCUCAAAUUAUCGGGGCAAUCUCCACAACCUAAUUGGAGACCCCAACGCUUUCCCGGAGCUUUACACCACAAUGAUUGAGCUCCGAGGAACCACCAAGAUUCUAGGAUGCCAAAUCAGCCAAGAAGAACAAGCUCUGAGGUACCAAACACCCAAGAGUAAUAAGCUUCUCAAACUUUACUUCCAUCUAUCACCGUGGAUAACUCAAACCUAUGCACCAAAUGCAAUGGCAAGUGUACACGGAGUGCCUAAGUCCUUCUCUCCCAAAUCCCACCACAACAACUAAUGCUAUGGUGGAAAAUGAGAGGAAGAACAAAAAAGAACACCAAGAACUCCAAGAACUAGAUCCAAGGGGUUCUCCUCACAUAGAGGAGGAAGUGAUUGGUGGAAAUGUGGAUCUAGAUCUCCUCUCUCUUUUUGCUCAAAAGGAGCAAGAAUCAUUGGAGAGAAUGAGAGUUAGCAAGCUCUAAGAAGGUCAACAAUGAGGGGCAAAAACAAGCUCAAGAGUUAGGGAACCAUUGGCAAAGAAGACCCCCUUAAAUAGGUCCCCAUAAAUAUGCCCGUUAUGUGCAGAAUAACGAAAGGGCGGUACAACCGGUGAUGUGGGUGGUACAACUAGUAAAAGUAAUAUCGUGGUACAACCUCUCUUAGGGGUGGUACAACCUCUUAGUGAAAAACAGUAAUACAAAAACAACCAUAACUUCAACAUACGAGCUCCGAAUUGAGCAAACUCAAGGUUGUUGGAAAUCAGACGACAAGAACUAUCCAAACAACGAAUGGUUAUAGCAACUAUAGGUACUAGAAAAAUGCCAAUGGUAUAGAGAUGUGUAACCUCUAUGAAUGAAGAACCGACAGAAACUCCAAUAUCGGAAACAUCAUAGAAUAUGCACAUGAACUCGGUUUUUGAUGAACUCAAGCUUGUCAUAAAGAUGACCAUGAGCUCUAAAACUCACAAAGAGAACCACCAAAAAAGAACCAAGAAAUAUGAUGCAAGGAUGCAAAUGGUUUGAGCUCUCAACGAAUGAUAUGAUCAAGCUACUCACUUGAGAGCCCUCCUUGACAAUACGACAAUCUAUCCUAAAAUAGAAAAACCUAUCAAGGAGAAACCUAUACCUUGCACCUAGUCCACUUGAGCAAGAUGUUGAUGAUCUUAAGUUCCUCAAGAUGGACCACCUUUCUUGAUUGCGCUGGCUCAAUCAAGACUCCUAAAUUACCCCCCAUACUUCACUAGGGGGGAGCCACUCUUCAGCACAUCUUCACAAGUCCAUUGCCACCAUGAUGGACGACAAGCUUCAAGCAUGAUAUCUUCGUGAUGCUCCACUUGAACUUGCACACCAAAAUCUUCUAAGGGUUGAAUGAGAUAUUCCUCUUGAUGCAAACCCAUGGAAACACACCUAAACAUACAUAGAGUCUCACGAAGACCACGGGUUAGUACACAAAGCGUAAUGUACAAUGCUUGUCAUACCAUGGGAUCACUUGUUCCUUCUUGGUACAUCUUGUACUCUUUGUGAGUUUAUCAACUUGAUUUACUCUCUGACCUAGUCUUAAUCAACCUGGUGUCUUUAUGACCAAUCUUUGGAUAAAACCUUGAAUACCACCUUUGUCAUCAUAUAAACUCCUUGAAAGGAACCGAUGGACUUCAAGAAGUGCCUAUGGAAAAAUCCUACAAAUAUAAGUUAAGGCAACCUUUAGUCCAUAGGGAUUUUCAUCAAUUACCAAAACCACAUAUGGAGAAAUAUGCUCUAACAAUCUCCCCCAUUUUGGUAAUUGAUGACAAUCACUUUCAAGAGAGUUUAUAUAAGGAAAUAAGCAUAACCAAGCACACACACAUCCAAACCAACAAUGCAUGGGUAUGAGAUGCAAAUGCUUAAGCAACAAAAGAAAAACUCUCUUAGCAUCUCCAAACUAAACUCUCUAAACUUCUCCCCCAUUGGCAUCGAUUGCCAAAAUGGACGAAAAGCUUAGAGAGCCACUAUAAUAGGUGUUCCUCCAAAAAGUGUGUACUUAUCAACAAAUGAGUGCAAAGAAAUGCACAUAUACAAUGAUAAGUAGUUGGAUGAAAAUGAACUAUAUCGAGGGCCCAAAGAUUGCAAAAAGCAUCAUAUGGCAUAAAGAAAUACAAAAGAUAUAAGCAAGCAAUCAAAAGGUACAAAAAGGAACAAGCAAUCACAUGGUCCUUCGAACCACAUGAAUAAAAGACAUUAUGAUAUGGGGAAAGGAAUGUUUUAUUACAACUAGUGAAGCUCCCCUUGAUUUGUGCAAAAUUAGGAAUUUUUUUAUAUUUCAUACAAGUGCACAAAAUAGGCUCGUUGCUCCCCCAAAAUUAAUAAAAACACACAACAAGUGCAUGCAAGUAGAUAAGAUAAUAAGCAUAUCACUUGCACAAAACAUAUGGUUGAGAAAUAUGUAAAAGAGGAAACUUAAGAAUAGGCUCAACCAAAAUGAUGUGUGUGACUCAUGGCAAAGCACUUGAGAAGACUAAGAUAAGGAUGAGCGUUACUCAUCACCAUAGUCUUGAUGAAAUGAGAAACAAAGUGCAAGACAUAUCCUUCCCAGAUACACUACUAGCAAAUGGGUUCGCAAGCUUACUAGUAAAAAAAUUAAGAACCAAUGCAUGUGACAAACCCACCAAAGAGUGCAUCAAGAUGCAAAUCCUUUCAUAAAACCACCAAAAAGAGAAAAAGAAAGUGCAAUGGUUGACGUGAAAGAAAAGAGGAUAUCAAUUAGAGAAGUAACUACUGUCAUGUGUAAAAGAUUCUAGGUAGGAGACAAUCAUGAUGAUAUAUAUCCACAAAGAAGUAUGUACACACAAAAUUGUUACAAGUAGGAACAAACAAGAUAUCCAAAAGUAAGUCAUAAAUAUAACAAUAAGAUCUUUGCUUGGAAGCAUAGCACAUGGCCUAAUAUUUUCUUAUUGUACAUAAAUGAACUUCCAACUUACGAACAUCAAAGACAUCACAACUAGCAAUAAGACAUCAUCUUUGGGAUGCUUUGAGAAAGGAAACAAGUAACACAAGAACGAAUCAAGAAAUUCAUGACAUGACACAACCCAUAGAAGGUUGAAUACAAGAAAUGUAUGCAUGGAGUAGAUACUUGUUAUAGGGAUAGCAUAUGGAUUGAUGUAGUACAUAAUGGUUCAUAGAUCAUCCUAGCUUGGAUCCAAUAAAUCCAUGGUGUCAGCACCUUCCUUGUAGGUGAUCCGAGCAUCCAAUGAGUCUCCAAUUGUUCCUAGAACAACAACAAAAACAAAAUGGUGCCCAAACUGAUUGGGACCAAACUGUUAGAAAACCAACAAUACAUAGGACAAACUCCACAUAAAUACGUGCAUAUAGAUAUGAAAUUGAAUUUCAUUCACACUUCAGCCAAUUUAUGACAAGGUGGAGUUUCCCCUAUAUAUCGGGUCAAAGAAAGAAAACCUGCCAAAGAAGGUACAUAUAGAAAAUAUGCAUGCUCAAGGCUUUCAAAAAUCAAAUUAACAAAUAGUUGAUAGGACACCAAAAGACAAGGUAUCAAGUGAGAAUAAAAUACCAAACAAAAAAAAUAUCACUUGAAGGAUACCAAUUAAAGGAUACAUCAAGGAAUGUAAUUUCCAUUGACACAUUCCAAAUAAAAGGAAACAAGAUAUUAAUUGAAGGAAAACAAGCAAGAGGUAUCAAGUCCCCGAAAGACUGCUAGGUUCCAAACAAACCAAACCCUCGAAAUUUUUUCAUGAUUGCACAAAGCACCGUAAAAAGAAAUACUUACCUCCCACCAAUGCAUGCUUGAUGGGGAUCAAAAGAUUUUAUGAUAAACGCAUAAAGAGAGUGUUCUAAAGAAAAUAGGAUAGGUCCCCCAAAAGAUGUGCAUUAUAUAGAAUUUUCAUUUAAAUGAAAAAUGCACAAGAUGGGAUCAUCACUUUCUCUAUAUCUAUAGAAACAAUUGACAUGUUCAAAAAGAUCCACAAGAGACAAGGAAGACAAACGAUACACACAAUCCAAUGUAAAGGUGAUUAGCAAUUUCUACCACAUGAAGGGAAUACCAAUUGUCAAAGCACAAGAAGUAUGGGAAAUAAUUCCCAUUGGUAGAUUGCAAAUAUAUCGAACAUCAUCUUUACAACAAAAACACAGGCAAAUGACACUUGUAGAGCUAACAUGCCACCUAGGAACAAGAUAAUUUACAAUAGCAACACUAAGUGACAAUAUCUCAAAUGUACACAUUUCCUAGGCUUGUAAUAUGCACAUAGCAUAUUACUCCACAAUAAUGUGAUAACCCAACAUUUAAUAACAAGUGGAAAAUGAAAACCAACAAGAGAUAAUUAAUGGACCAUUUAGAAUUUGAAUUUCUCAUGAGUAAGACAUACCACAUAGAGACUAGAUAAUCUUCAAAUAUCAAUACUAAGUGGUAUUCCUCAUAUAUACACAUUUAUAGGAUUGUGAGGUGCGCAAAGCANNNNNNNNNNNNNNNNNNNNNNNNNNNNNNNNNNNNNNNNNNNNNNNNNNNNNNNNNNNNNNNNNNNNNNNNNNNNNNNNNNNNNNNNNNNNNNNNNNNNCUCCGCGUUUUUAUCUUUUUGAACUUCACUCCUCCGCGCGGGUCGGUCCUCGUCAAAAGACACGGUCUUUAGGUUAGUACAACCACGCUUUGUAAGUGAAGCCAACUUUAUCCAUUCAUAUGAACAAAAAAGACUGUUUUUCCUUUUUUCGUAUUCCGUUCUUUGUAUGAUUCAUUUUUGUCAUAAUCUCGAAGCUUGCAGGAUACUACCGGCAAGGCUCCUUGAUGUGUUCGAUGCAACCAUGUAAAUCGCCAACCGCAGCUUGAGACAAAAUCGGGUGCUACGUAGCCGCUUGCUGAGUUGAUCAGGUUCGCAACUGUUUGAAGGCGCUCUGUGGCCAUUCAGGUCGUUUGAACGAGUUCGAAACAAAGACAAGGUUCACCGAACUUUCGGAAGGUCCUAGUACUCGCAAACUCCUCACACAAAGAUUGGAAACUUUUGAAGGGAAAAAGCAAAGGAUCUAUCUACUUCAAAUCUGAAUCUCGAACUUAAAAACUUAUCUGUCCAUGCCGUGGUUGUGAGGCACUUGAAUCUUUUGUCGGAGCCUUUGGAAAGCGGGAAAUCACCGCUCCUUGCGGUCUCUUCUCUGGCAAGGACUUCUCCCCGACGGUCCUUGACUGUCGCUUGGAGAAAGAGCCAGCUAGGGUGUAACCCCUUUGCUUUUCUCUGUUGGAUAGCUCUUGUCGUUGUGAAUUCAACAAGCUUGCGUUUGCUCGAUUCGGAGUUCGUAUGCAAGAGUUAGAGCAGUUUCAGUAUACAGAGGUAGCACCGCUCAUGGUGCGAGCGGUAGUACCGGUCCUGGAGCGGUAGUACCGCCCCUGAAGCGGUAGUAAUUUUUGACUACCGCUCCCGGGCGGUAGGACUACUCCCUCAGACGUUCUGGGAGCGGUAGUACCACUCCGAGCAGCGGUAGUACCGCUCCAGUCGGGCUGUGAGUGGGGGUAACGGUUGGAUUCGUUCCCCACUAUAUAGAGGAUGUCUUCUUCCCCAUUGGACCUUAUCUAUCCGUUGAGCUCGUAUUAUUCCCCCAUUGUUUACCUUCUUAGAGCUUGCUAACUCUCAAUCGCUCCAAUGUUUCUUGCUAAUUCUUCAGGGAAAAGAGAGAGGAGAUCUAGAUCCACAUCUCCACCAAUCACUUUCUCCUCUAUGUGAGGGGGCCCCCUUGGAUCUUAAUCUUGGAGUUCUUUGUGAGCCCCUUGUUCUUUCUCUCAUAUUUCUCCAUAGAUUUUUUUGUUGUGGAGGGAUUUGAGUGUGAGGGACUUGACCACUUUGUGUGUUCUUGCCAUUGCAUUAGUUGCAUCGGUUUGUGUUCUCCACGAUGAUACGUGGAACUGAGAAGUUGAGAAACUUAUUACCCUUGGGUACUUGGUACCGCUAGNNNNNNNNNNNNNNNNNNNNNNNNNNNNNNNNNNNNNNNNNNNNNNNNNNNNNNNNNNNNNNNNNNNNNNNNNNNNNNNNNNNNNNNNNNNNNNNNNNNNCUUUCGGAUUCUUAUUCGCUCUCUCUUUUKUUUUGAUUGCUAGAAUGAUUGCUAGUAUGAGUGCUUAUGUGAAUGAUAUGUUUGUUAUAUAGAUUCCCUCGGAGAGUGACGAGUAGUCUAUCAAGUUAUUUUCUCGAGAAAUUCUUCUUCGUCAACAUCACCAGGCAAGUCACUUUGAUCAUACUAUCACCUAUGUUUUAUGCAUCGUAGUUCUACCAUCCUAGGCCCAAAUUUGCAUGCUGCUUAGCUACUUGGAAAUUUUAGUAUAGAUUGUAGUAUCAUGUGGUAGGCACACAACAACCCCGAUACUUGGCCCCGAGACGACAAAUUUCAUAUUGCUAUGCUUGAGUAGACGUGAAUUCGGUUUAGUGCAUAACACGAGUGAUGCGAGAUUGAUUAAAUAUUCAAGACCGGUUAAGACAAGAUUUUCAAGACCUCGGACGCAAUGCAACUCUGGGUGAAGGACGGUUGAUCGGCUCCCUGUAGAACCCAGUGGAUGCCCGGGAUGCUGGGGACGGCCAUGACAUCCUGCGGAAAGCUUCACCCAGGCUCGAAGAGACGGACGGAUAUUUUCAAGACCCAAGGCUUACCUGCACAGCCACAAGUCAUUAUGGGCUCUGGCUUGGUUGGACAAUGCGGCGACUGUGGACAGGCGGUGCUAGCAGAUGUAGAAGAACGGUAGGAUUGGAUUGGCACCGACAGGGAUUUAGAGGGACCCGUUGAAAGACCAUGUUUUGAUCWUCCGGUCUUCAAACACCCUGAAGUGYGAGGACAUACACGGAGGCGAUCAAAUCUUGUGGGGAACGUGUGCAAAACUCUGCAGAGUACUCAAACCUAAUCGAUUAGCCGUGUCCACGGCCAUGGACAACUUGAGCCAAAGGAACUGAAGUUAUCUGGAUUUCUCAACACCAUUAUAUAUAUUUGAUGAGGGUAAUUAUUGACAACUCGGGUACGAGAACUGGUUGGCGGAACCAUCUCGUUAACAACCAACCUUGUAGUAAUAUUUUUCUUUUAGCCCUCUUGAUGUUGGAGAAAACUUGCUUUUCGCUAAAAAACUUAUAGCCCCAGCUGCCAUAAAUGCAUAUAGUAUAGAUGAUUACUUUUCACCCCUCUCUUAUGUGACUUGCCAGCAUAUUCAAUAUGCUGACCUACACGGCUACAACGUCUUAUGUUGCAGAUAUUUUUCUUCGAUGAGUAAGAGUACGAUUCAGGGUUACGGUCUACACUCAACUUGCCGUUGGCGUUUAUUGGGACUCCACUCCCUUGACUGCUUCCGCUGAGAUAUUUAAGGUAUACAUCAGUUUUACGCUAUUUACAUGUGAUUGCACUUUCAUAUAUACAUUGAUGUAGUGUGUGUGCCUGCAUACUGAUCCAGGGAUGGCACAGAAACACAGAGCCUUGACUCGUCUUGAGUCGGGUCGCUACAAUAAUACGGUGGGUGAACAAAUUACUGUCGAGCAUUUGAUACAAAAGUGAAUAAUUAUGAAGAUAUCUAAGGCCAUGAUUAUGCAUACAGGCAUCAUGUCCGUCUCAAGUAGACCAAAACGAUUCUGCAUCUACUACUAUUACUACACACAUCGACCGAAUCCUGCUUGCAUCUAGAGUAUUAAGUUCAUCAAGAACAGAAUAACACAUUAAGUAAGAUGACAUGAUGUAGAGGGAUAAACUCAAGCAAUAUGAUGAAAACCCCAUCUUUCAUCCUUGAUGGCAACAAUACAAUACGUGUGUCGCUACCCCUACUUUGUCACUAGGUGUGGACACCACAAUAUUUAACCCAAAACUAAGCACUUUUCCCAUUGCAGGAAUUUCCAAUCUAGUUGGCCAAAACAAACCAAUAAUUUGAACAGACUUGCAAAGAUAUGAAAUUAUUCAUAUAAGAAUUCAGAAGAGACUCAAAUAAUAUUCAUAGAUAAUUUGAACAUAAACUCACAAUUCAUCGGGUCUCAAAAAACACACCGCAAAAGAGUACUACAUCGGAUAGAUCUCCAUAAAGAUCAUGAAGAACAUGGUAUUGAAGAUAGAAGAGAGAGAAGAAGCCAUCUAGCUACUAGCUAUGCACCCGUAGGUCUGUGAUGAACUACUCACACAUCAUCGGAGGGGCAUUGGAGUUGAUGUAGAUGCUCUCCGUGAUCAAUUCCCUCUCCGGCAUAUUACCGGAAAAGGCUCCCAGAUUGGAUCUCACGGGAACAGAGGCUCCCGGUGGUGUAAAACUAUUUUUGGGGCUCUUUCUGGUGAUACGGGAAUAUUUGGGAAUUUAUAGGCCAAAGAAUAGGGUUAGGAGGCUUGCAGGGGACCCACAAGCAAGGGGGCACAUCCACCCCCCUAGGGUGCGCCCUACAGGCUUGUGGCCUCUCAACAGGUGACCUACCCCCUACUCCAAGUCUCCUAGGUAUCUUCUGGUCCAAGGAAAAUCUUACUGGAGAUUUUGUUCCAUUUGGACUCCGUUUAAUAUUCCUUAUCUGCAAUAUCAAAAAACAAUGAAAAACAGAAACUGGCACUAGGCUCUAGAUUAAUAGGUUAGUCGCAAAAUCAAUAUAAAACAACGUAUAAAUGCAUACAAAACAUCCAAAACAGAUAAUAUAAUAGCAUGGAACAAUAAAAAAUUAUAGAUACGUUGGAGACGUAUCAAGCAUCCCCAAGCUUAAUUCCAACUCGUCCUCGAGUAGGUGAAUGAUAAAUAUAGAAUUUUUGAUGUGGAAUGCUACCUAACAUAUUUAUCCAUGUAAUAUUCUAUAUUGUGGCAUGAAUAUUCAUAUCCAUAAGAUUCAAAACAAAAGUCUAAUAUUGACAAAAAACAAUAAUACUUCAAGCAUACUAAUAAGGUAAUUGUUUCCUUUCAAAAUAACAUGGUCUCAGAAAGUUAUCCCUACAGAAUCAUAUGGUCUGGCUAUGCUCCAUCUUCACCACACAACGUAUGUAAUCAUGCACAACCCCGAUGAAAAUCAAGCAAUUGUUUCACACUUUUUAUGUUCUCAAACCUUUUCAACUCUCACGUAAUACUUGAGCCCGAGCCAUGGAUAUAGCACUAUAGGUGGAAUAUAGUGUGGUGGAGGUUGCAAACAGAAAGGAAGAAUAUAGUCUCACAUCAACUAGGCAUAUCUGAAAGUGCGUUAUAUCGACUAGAGGGGGGGUGAACAGGCGAAUUUUAGAAUUUCAUUGUUGAGGAAAUUCUUUAUGAAGAAAUUCCUCAAUGAUGAAUUAAGUGCAGCGGAAAUAGCGCAGGAUUGGAAGUGCAAAAAAUACUACAACAGAUUACUUGGCGAAGAUUAUGAGAAUCGGUUUGCACAGUAUGCAAGAACAUAGUAAGCAGGUGAAGAUUAUAUUAAGUGAAGAAUUUCAGGUUGCGGAAAUUCAAAGAAAGUCUUCAAGAAAAUUCUUCAACAAUGCAUAUCAAAUUCUUCAACAUACAAUUUGAGGAUUGAAAGAGUUGAAGAAAUAGAACCCGUAUCCCGAUGAAGACAGUUGUUGAUGACCCAGUUCCAACUGCUGUGAGAGUUGUACAUCUGGUUUGGAACGGCUUGGUAUUGAAACAAACGGACAUACAGUCCCAGGACACACAGUCCCUACCGUAUUCUUUUUGAGCUAAGGACACACAGGCCUCGCCCAAAGCUCGUGGUAAGGCUUCAUGGCAGUCUUGCAAACACUCAAAAACUUGGUCACCCGAUGAUCCACAAUUGACCGCUGGAUGAUCUAGACCAUGACGCUUAACCGUCUCGAGGAUGCACUUUCCUCAAAGGUAAAAGGCUUCAGUUCCACAAAGGAACAAAUUCUUCAGUGAUGCUCAAUCACUUGGUUUUUCGUUUGGGGUAUUUCCUCACUUUAUGAUUUUCUCUCGAAGACUCUAAGGAAUUUGGGUUGCUCUAAAUGACAAGCGUCAGUUUCUCUCGGAGCAGCCAACUAGCUAGUGGUUGUGGGGUGGCUAUUUAUAGCCUGGGAGCAUCCCAACAUGAUUUGACAUAAAUGCCCUUAAAAAAUGUGACCCUUAGGUGGAUAAGAUCAAUGAGGUGGUGCGUGUCGCUGCAACGGUCGGAACUUUCAACUCUGAAAGUCCUCAUGUCUCUCAUAUUUCUCACUUUGAGGCUUUGGUCGGUUUCGGCUUGGGUUGAGCAUCAUGAGGAAAUUCAUUCCGUAUUAUUACCUCGAACCCCUUUAACAGUAGGGUGUUCCUACGACUCAAGAGUAAAGAAAAUGAAACAAAAAGAGUAAAUCUUUAUGCUUCAAAGUCUUCAGACAAUUUUUCUUCAGGCACACCGAAUUCCUCAUCUUCAAUAUCUUCAUGAGGAAUAUCAAUUUCAUUGCAAUUUCUUCGCGAUCAAAGUCUUCAAGGUAAGACCAAAGUCUUCAGCCGAAGACAUACAUUUCUAGGGGUCAAUAUUCGUCGUAUAACUCAAGCUCCUCCGUGACUUAUAGAGCAUGUGUACACUCACAAACAUAUUAGUCUCUUAACCUAUAAGUCUUCAAACCACCAAAAUCACUAAGGGGACUAGAUGCACUUAUAAUCUCCCCCCUUUUGGUGGUUGAUGACAAUUAGGUUAAGUUUUCAAUGGGGAUAAUAAUAUGAUAUGGAAGUACCAAGUUUGAGGAAUUUGAAAUCAAGAUACCAAGAGACUCCCCCUGAAGAUGUGCAUAUUUUGAGGAAUUUUCUUUGCACAAUAGAUGCACAUUGAUGAUUUAUAUCAUGGAGAUCUCCCCCUGUAUCUUGUAAAUCAUGCAUACAUUUGACAUAUAAUAUCAGGAAUUGAAAAUGCAUGAUGAAAAAUCGUGUCUGACGAACUUCAGCAUGCCUGCAUUAAUAGACUUUGAGGAAUAAGCAUGCAAAGAAAAACAUUCAAAAUAGUCAGAGCACCAUCGGGCUUAAGUUACAACUCAUUACAUCAAACACUUCAAAAGAGCCAAGAGUUUGUAACUUAAUAAAGUUUAUAAGCCCCAAAAUAGAUCCCGUUUGCAGACUAACUCUUAGAUUUCUCCCCCUUUGUCAUCAAGUGAUGAAAAGGGACAAAAAAACUGAGGACUAACGCCCUUGAAGAAAUUCACUUCUUGGCUGAUGUAGAGGCAUGAUUAUUCUUGGAGACAGGGUUCUUCCUUGGACUAGUCGCACUGUGUUCUGGUUCUUCAUCUGAUUCAGCAGUGUGAAAUGAAGAAAUUGAACUGUCCUCUAAUUCAGGAACUGGAAUUGGCUUGAAUUUCUUCUUUGGAGGCCACGACCAGUCAAAGUGUUGAGUAAAUUCCAAUUCCUCAAGUUCCUCGGAAAUCUUCAGAUGAGCCAAGGUGGACCAAGUGCGAUCAAAUAUGUCUUGAAGAUAAUAGUGAUUUUUCUUCACUUCAUUAUGAGUCUUGUUGAGGGUUUUCACAAUGGCACCAAACUGGCGUUUCACCCACUUGUGAUUGCGAUCGACCUUUCGAUGAAGACUGAGCAGUAGGUCUGUGUUAGUCAUCACUCUAGGGGCAGUUGGGCUUGGAGGAUCUUGAGUAGCAGUGUCAUCAUAUGAAGAAUAGGAAUUUGCCUUGCGAAAUUGGCCAUCAAGGGGCUGAUUUCCUUCAUCUAUCACCGAUUUUCCUUUGCCUUCCAUAGGUUCAAAUGAUUUCUUGAUGGCUUUGAUAGGCGACAGAUAUCCGAGGCGAUUCUGAAAAUCUUCUUGAUUGUUGAUGCCUGACCUAUUUUUGAUGAAUCUCAUGAUCCAAGGCGCAUAAAUCUUCAACUCAUAUGGCGACAAAGCAUUGUCAGCCAAAGUCCUCAAGAAGAAAUCAUGAAGAUUCAUAGGUAUGCCAUGAAUUACAUUGAAGAGGAUAUUCUUCAUGAUUCCUACGACAUCUUCUUCAUCAUCAUGCCCUUUGAUAGGACCAAUGGCAUAAGAAAAGAUUUUGUACACAGUUCAAGGCUCAUACUUCAAAUCUUGUACCUGAAAUUGAGUCCUCGGGGGAUGGCCCUUGGCCAAAGGCUUCAUGAGGACUUCCAUGAGCUUUUUGGGCAGUUCUUGUUCAUCAUACAUCAGAACUGCAUCAUCUGAGGGAAUUGAAAUUGGGAUGGCUCGAAGCAAUUCACUGGCAGGAGCUUGGUAAUGCGUGUGCUGAGUCAUCCAAUCCAAUACCCAUGUGUUGACAUCCUUUGGGUCGCGUGAGAUAUGCAGUGUGGCGUAAAAUUGAAGAAUGAUGUUUGUGUUCCAAUCACCGAUAUCAGUAUAGAAAGCAGUAACCGAGCUUCAUGAAGAACAUUGAGGACUGGAGCGAAGCAAGGUAUUUCCUCCAUGUCACAGUGAGGAAUAUGGGUAUGUUGAAAUAUCUUGUUUCCCCCACAGAGCACAGAAGCAUAGUAGUUAAGCUGAUUUCUUGUCCAGAACUUCCUGUGUCUGAUGCGAAGUUUGUCAUAUGGAUUUUCGCCAGUGAAGUACACGCGUUCUUCAUAGAAAGCCUCUUUCUAAAACUUUGGCCUUUUGGAGAAAGGCUGAUUUUGCUGCAGUUGAAGAUUGUGCUACUGUUCUUGAGGAGUAGCCACCACCAUUGUUGUUUAUGUGUUUACCACGACAAUAGCGGUUUCGGUUUUAGGCGGAGGAGCAUUUUCUUUAGUUUGAGCAUUUUCUUCAGCUUGAGGAAUUUGCUUGUUGGAGGAGGCAGUUGCAGUAUUUGAUGCUGCAUUUUCUUCAGCUGAUGCAGCUGAUUCUUGAGAAGAUUCCUCACGAAUGCUUUUUCCAUCAGAACUGGUGAGGAUCUCAGUUGCAGCACGAGUUGGAGGGAUUUGAUUUGACUUUGGUGAGCGUGGAUGAGUUUCUUCCCAAAAAUCAUCAUGGAUUACACGUGUGCUGCAUCCAAUGUCAUCAUCACCCACUUGUUCUUCAGUGGUCUUCGGAGGUGUGGUGGACUGAGGAAUAUCAUCUAUCUGCAUUUCCUCAUCCAUUACUUCAUCCUCUUCAGCGUCAUUCAUUUCUUCAUCUUCUUCUGGAAAGACAUUGUCUACUCCAAAGGGAACGAUCAUGUAUGAUGGUGCUACAUUUAGAGGUGUAGCAUCCAUCGGGGCUGACGAAGAUUCUGACUGAGUAAUCUUCACAUGUUUGGCCUCUAACGAUUCUAAGGCUGUUGAAGCUUUUUCUCUUUUUGGCCUCUUUCUCAGCCGCUUUGGUUUUCUUCACGUCUGAUGCACACGGAGUCACUUUCUUCACCUUUGAGGGUUGUGGUGAAGGGACAAUUUCAUCAGACACUUGUUCAGUGUCAGGCCUGGCAGUUUUUUCAGCUGGAAUAUUUUGAGGAAUUUCCUCAACAGCUGGUUCAUCAUUUUCAUCUUCCUCAGGCAGCUGAAGAGUAUAGCUUGGUUGAGGUGGUGUUUGCUGCUUUGGAGGGGCAGUUUUCUUGUUGUAUUCAUCAACAGAAGCUAUUGCAGCCUUGAUGAAUCUCACUUUGACGCCUUGACGAUCAGAGUGAGGACUUGUAUACUUGUCUGUGAGGGUUUUGAGUUCAUCCUGAGUUGAUACAAGUGCUUUAGGCGUCCAGUUGAGGAGAUUCUGCUUGAGGAAUUUCUCCUUUUUGAUUUUAGCAGCCCUUGCUUGCUUGGCUUGCUGCUCUUUCCACUUUGCUUCAUUGAUGAAAGUAGCCACCAUAUGGCUGAGACUAGGGGGAUGCUUCAAGUCAUCAACCGGUGUGUUAGGAUCUUCAUACUAGAGGUCGAUGAAAUCCAGCAAUACCUUCGGAUCCAUAGCUAGAGGAAUGGAACUGCCAGAGGAUUUUGCAACACGUUCCCGUUUGUUUCUGACGAUUGCUUGAAGUGUUUCAUCAUCAAAUUCUUCACUUCCUUCUGAUGCAGAAGGGACGUUGAUGACCUAGCUAGGAAAUGGCCUGAUGCCUCUGCCAGCAGUAAUUUUAGUCUUCAACAGAGUGGGGGAAGACUUUGAAGCAGAGCCAGUGGCAGAUGACACCGAGGAACUUGAUUGCACGGGUUGAAACUUACUGACCUGCUUCUGUUGUGGGGGUGAAGACUGUGUUGCUGUUGAGGAUUUUGCAGCUGUUGCAUCCUUGUGAGGCAAUUUCUCUUUUGGCGCUAUAGUUGAAGCUUUGGGUUUCUUCAGCAAAGUCUUCUUCUAAGGAAUUGCUGUAGCAAAGGCUUCAGCUGCUGAAGAAGUGCCAGAAUUGGCUGCAGCAGCAGAAUCCUCAUUGAAUUUCUUCAAAGCUGCUUCUGCCUUCUUCUACAACUUAGACAAAUAUUUGUGUUUCUCAUACGGAUAAUCUUCAAUAGUUGCUACACUUGAGCGAUGAGCUGCUUGUUCAUCACACUAUGGUGGCCUUUUGCAUGUGGCUUGAGCGCGAAUUUCUUGGCAUACUUCAGAGUCACGUAUUUGUACUCCUUACACUCCUUAGCCCACCUGCGCUCAAUCUUUUGAAGCCUUAUUUUGCGCUUCGCCGUGGUCUCUUUACCAUGUAUUUCCUCAUCAGGAGUACAAUAAUCAACAUAUAUGUCUUCAGGUAUUUCAUGUGAUGUAUUCUGUUCCAGCUUCUUUCCUCCUUUCGACUUCCGAUCAUCCUCCAUUUUCUUCAACUUAGGCUUUUGCUGAGGAAUCUGAACUCUUGAUGAUUCUGAAGACACAGGUAAAGUUUCUUCGAGGAAUGCUGCAAAUGAGUUAAGUUGAUGAGAA
rnacentral:lncRNA from 1 species